rnacentral:lncRNA from 1 species
UUUUUUUUUUUUGUGUUAUCAAGUGAUAAAAGUAAUCUACAUUAGUAUGUACACAUUUGAGACAAUUUACCAAAACUAAUGCUCGAGACACAUCAAAUUAAUGUGUGUGCCAACUAAUAAAAAGAUAUUAAAAUGAUUCAAAUUAUUUUUGGUGGGAAGUAGUAGUUUAGUAAAGUUGUGGUUUUUUGUUAGACAAGUGAAAGUUAAUUUAACAAGAUAUGGAGUAGUUAUAGAGAGGUGGGUAGUUGAAAUGAUGUAAUUAUCCUUAGAGAUAAGUGUAGAUUAGGUAAUACAUUAAAUGACACAAUUUUGUUUACACCAAAUCUUUCCCCCUCUUGCUUUACACACAGCAUAUAGUAAGAUAAGAUAUUAACAUUUGAUCAUGAAAAAAAAAAAAAAAACCUAAUCUUCAAGUCUACAUUAUGUUUUAUCCAUUGAGAGAAGCAAGUCCUCAAUCUUGCUUGACUAUUUGCAUUUUGGAAGCUCCAGAAAGGUUUUGUAUAAAUGUUCCAUAUCCUUUUGUGAGGCGAGUGGUAAAUUAGUGUUUUCUAAUCAAUUUCUGGGUUUACUUCUUUUUUUAUGCCUCUAGUUAACUAGGAAAUCAAUUCCGAGUUUUCCAUUGAAAUUUAGUUUCCAAAGAAAGGGAAUUUCUUAGUUGGAAGUAAGAAAAAUUCGUCCAAAUUUUGCUCUACGUAGAUGGAAGGAUAUAUAAGCCAUCCUUGUACUGCUGAAAGAUACUGAGCUAAAAAAAAAUUCUGAGAUCAUAAAAGUUUGUGUUGGCAUGCAAUGCUCUGAUAAAAUUUGAUGUGAUUAUUUUCUUUUCUGAGAGGAAGGCGCAUGUAACUGUGGACAAACAAAACUGAUUAGGAUUUAUUUUUGGUCGGGUUUGGACAAGCCCAUGUGCAUUUGAGAAUGAUAUAUUCACAUUUAUGCUAAUGACAAACCCCUUUAUCGUUCUUUCACAUGGAAUCGCAAUAAAUUUUCCAGCACUAUGUAAGUUGUUACGAUGGCAUGAUUGUUAAAUCAAUUGUCAUGGCAGAAUAUUGGAGUAAAUGUAACAAUCAAAGGGAGGAUUUGCAGCACAUGUGUACAUAGGGUUUGAUUCAAUUUUAGCAGAUGGGUCGGACAUGAAUCCGUCCAUAUAUUUUGUAGGAUUCACAGAACCGAUGCUCAAAUGGGGCAAUUAUCAAGUUGGUAUUCAGCACUUAAAUUUAAUGAAUUUAAACUCUAAUACGUCGAGACGUGUCUGAUAGCCAAGAGUAAAAUAUUUUAAUUAAUUAAGUGGCAUCGAGACGUGUUUGAUAGCCAAGAGUAAAAUAUCUUAAUUAAUUAAGUGGCACCGAAUUGUCGAUCUGGACAAAACUUACUCCAAAAAAAUGAGUGAUAAACUGUUCAUUUAUCAUUUAAUGCAAAAUAUGUUCAAAUGUUAAGAUUUCAAAAUUUAACAUUUUGUAACUUAACAGAUUCACAGAUUUCAAAUUUUAAAUUUUAGAUUUCAAAUUUCAGUUUCAUAAGUUAUUGAAUUGUUAAGUACUGAAAUCUUAAUAUUUGAAUAUAUUCCAUAUUAAAUGAUAAAUGAACAGUUUAUCACUUAUAGUUUUUGAGUAAGCUUUGCCUAAACAAUUCAUUGUCAUUUAAUUAAUUAAGACGUUUUUUUUAUUAUCAAACACGUUUGAACAUAUUAAGUUCUUAGCUCAUUAAAUUUAAGUGUCCAAUUGAGUUAUCAAAUAGGCCAUUAGUCUUGAAACAUAAUGAUAAUAGACAAUAAAUGUAAGUGCAUGCACUCAAAUGAUAAAUUAGGUAUCAAGUAUAUUAAUAAGUGUUCACUAAGUACUCUUUUCUUUUUUUAUGAAAUUCAUUCAAUAAAUCUAUACUAAUGACAAAAAUUACAUCAAAUCAAAUAUGAUACAGAUACAUAUAAAUCUAAAAAUAAGCGAAUCCAACAAAUGUGAAAAACCAAUAAAAAAAAUAACAUUGAUGCUCCAACUGAGCACUAUUGAAAAAACUUUUUUAUUCUGUUAGUGGUGGUUAUAUAUACCUAAAUGAUCUUACUUGAAUUAAGGAACAUUUUCCAAGGCCAGUUAGGGUAGUCCCUGUAGAAUUGCUUAUGCGAAAUCUUGGCUUAAUUAGAGAAUCACUAGAAGUUAGGGGUUGACAUCAUUCUUGCCAAGUUUUGAUUUAAAUGUUUGGGUAUUCUUAAUCAUAGGUGGCUAAUAAAAGUAGGGAUUUGUGCUUUGAUUACAUAUUCUUCGUUUUAAUAAAGAAUGACUGAAAGAAAGCAAAUCAUGUCAAAAUGAUUGAAACAGCUUCUUGAGUUCGAGGGUAUUAAGAAUAUCAAUUCUGAUCCCGCAUCUUCUUUAUUAGGAUGUCUAACCAUCAACUUCACCAUUCAAUUAUCGCGUUUGGCUGAUAUCCACUUGAUUAGGAUGUCUAAUAUCAACUCGUUAAGAGGGGUCUUGAAUGUUGGUUCUUUUUUUUUUUUUAGAAAAACGUAAUUAAUUUUAAAAAGUGUCUAAAUAUAAGAGUAUAAUAAUUGUAAUUAUGUGUAUUAGUAUAAUAAGUUACGUGUAAUAUAGGUAUGUUAACAAAAUGGACCCCUGCUGAAAAAAAAUUCUUUAAUUAUUGUGUUUGCAUUAUUAUUUAUUUACAUGGAAGUAUUUAAUUUUAUUUUUUGUCAAAUGUCAAUUAUUAACAUGGAAAUAUAUUGUAUCACUUUUUUGUGUUUAAUUUUUUCUAUGGACAUUGAUUGUUGUCUCCUUACUCCCACAAAAUUAAUUUAUCUCUUGGACACUUUCCCUUCAGCUUAUGACAAAUUUGAAUAUAUAUAUUUUUUGGGGUCGAAGUGUGAAAAUUUUUAUUGAAGCAUUUUUUUUUAAAAAAAAAGAAAGAAGAAAAUGAAAAAUGAUUGGAGCAUCAUUUUCGCGAUGAAGUCUCAAACAAGACGUCGGCCAACCAUCUUACCUUGUCCAGGUCUUGCUAACCAACGAGAGUGAGUGAAUGACAUAAUGACAAGGACCAUUGGCUUCAAAAUCAAAUCAUACCUAAUCCGCUUUCCCCUAUCCCCCUCCCCCAAAUCCCUGCCCUUCCCUUCCCUCCCUCUUCUUCUGUACUUUUUCUUAAGGGUAGAGAGGAAUUGUCAUCUGGACGAUAUAUAAAAGUAAAAAAAUUUGAAUUCAAAACCUCGUAUUUAAAAUUCUCUUUAUUACUAUCCAAUCUAAUCCAAUUCUUCCUAUGCAAGAAUACAUAGUCGUUAUGGAAACAAAAAUACCUUUGAUCCCUUACUUUACUUAGUCUAAAUACAUCCAAUACUACUGCUUGUUUGGUACCCAUACAUCAGCAAGGAUGAUUUUUGUGGAGGCAAGAAAAGCUUUAGCUUAAGUUCUUACCCUUAUCAACCUAAAAUUAAUCUUCAUGGAUAGCCAAGAAAAGUAAUUUUACAGGAAUUAUAACCAUGAUCUAUAUAAAUAGUAAAUGAACAUGAGACAAUUGAUCUAAAUAGGUAAUUCUAACAGCAUUUUACAUAGAAUAAUCACACUGUAUCUUUUUUCCUAUUUAUUAUUGUUAAGCAUCGUCUCGAUUUAACUUGUGAGUCUCUUUUCGUGGAGUAGCCUAUUGCACAUAGAGUUCGUCCAAACGUAUGGGCAACAACUACAUGAGAUAUAGUAAGUGAGAGGUCCUAAGUUGGGAAAAUGAAGUGUAAGUAAGAGAUUUCGAAUUCGAACUCUCCACUUACACUAAAUUUUUUUUUUCAAGAAAAGGGAUGUAUUGGAUAGUAUGGAAGAAAGGAAUAUAAAUGAAAAGUCCCAUUUUAAGACGCACGACUUGCGCUUUAAAAAAAAAACUUCUUUGACGCUUAGGGGAGAGAGAGACACUUUUUUGACAGAUAUAGUAAGUGAUUCAACAAACUUUUUGCACGGAGUAUUCAAACAUGUUGUAGGUCAUGGUUCAGAGAUCUUCUUUACUCAGUGUUUUUUUCAUUCUUUUCCGCACGCAAUUGCUUUGUUUUAGCUGGAUUAGUAAUAUUUAGCAUUCCUGGAUUAAUAAUCACUUAAUUUGGGAGAAGAGAUAAGUUGGGUGGUUCAGGGGAGGAUAUGUAAGUGAGAGAUCCGAAUUCGAACUAUCGCGCUUACAUUAAAAAAAUUUAAAAAAUUCUAAAAAAACCCACUUAACCUAUUUGAACCAAAAUUAUCUGGAUCCAAUCCUUUUAUACCCACCACUUACAAUUUUACAGAGGAGGGGCAAGAACGGUUGCAGUCAUCAUGGCCAAGAUUUAGUAAAAAACAAAAUGUACGGUCUAAAUUUCAUCUUGUACAUAGUUUUUCACACCAUGUGUAAGAUUCAUAAAAUUUUGUUUUAUAAUUACACAUUGUUAUAAGUAGAUUAUAUCGUGUGUAUAAAAAAUUCCAUCUUAUGCAUUUUAUACAAAACCACUCCGAACGUUUUCCCAAUGACUGUUCGACACCUUGUCCCAAUUUUAUUGUCGACGACUCCGGUUGGGCGAUGACUAAAAUACGACAAAAAAAAAAUUAAAACAAGCCAUGAGACUGGUGGACCCAGUCAUCAGAUGAAGAUCCCAGAGUGGGGUCCACAUCUGGAUCCUGGACAAUCAAGCUGACCUAAUGCUAACCCAAUAUCAUGGCUUGCUUUUGGGCUUUCUUUCAGGAAGGAGGCAUGUGGGCCGAACUGAAUCCGUAGCCGCAUCUAAAAUUUUGACUCAGAAAAAUUGUAGGGAUAAAAACCAAAAAAAAAAAAAGAAAAUUAAAUUUUUAGUAGAAUAUACUUAUGCGGACGAAGUAGCUCGGAUGAAGCCACAAAUUUUGAUCCUAGGGCACUUUGUCCUAUUCUUACCAUUCUUUGAACUUGGAACUUGUCAGUCUUGUCUCAAUUGCCAAAUUUGCCAUCCUUCACACACCUAAUUUACGAUGGAGGAAGACCACUUUUGAUGUCCCCAAGUCCUAAAUUCGAUACGAGGUUUCACCAUCAAAUUGGAAAAGGAAAUUUCCCAUUUCGUUCGUUUCAAUUUCGCCAUCCGCAAAAAUUGCUACGUUUUUUCGUGAACAUAUUUUUAAUCACUUCAUAUAUAUCAAAUCGAUACAGUAAAUUUUCUACAAAAAAAAUUCAGAAAAAUACAAUCCAAACACAGUCUUAAUUUAGUGUGUAACGAUACGUUGCUUCAUACUUGUUUCAGUAUUGCAAGCCCUAGUUAGAUUCAGAAAUGCUACGUACGUUUUAUAGUUAUCGAGAAAAUUCAAGUUCUCUCUUCGCUCGCCACAAACAAUUCUCGGAGAUUUCCUUUUUCAUCUUAGAAGAUAAGGAACGAAAUAAUCAAACUAUUGAUAUUGGAAGAUUUUAUUUGCUUAUUAGUCCCUUACCUUCCUUCAUAAUGCUGUGUAACUAGAAAGGGAGAAAACGCCAAUGUGUUCACCCAACAAGGAACCAUGCAGAUUCUCCUUUCUACACAGGACAAAUAUUUCCUUUUACUUGGAAAGUUUAAAAAUCAAAAGCCCGAGUGGUAGUUGGCAAUUUGGCAUGAUUUGCAAUGCUUGGCUUACCCUAGAUGGAGAGCUGCAUGAAACCUAGCUGCUUCUAUCCUAAGGGAACAAAUUUUAAUCAGUUUCAUGCAUACUAUAUCCUUUUGCUAUAAUCCGAAUAUUAGCAGUACCGUAAUACAAUCAUUGGGCAGUUUGAGAACUUAUGGCGGGGCCAAAGUACAAUAAUAAGAGAGUGUAAGAUUAAAUCUAGGCAAUUGUUUAUGCGGGCACGCCUUAGAGUCUGUUUGAAUUGCCUAUUUUUGGAGCUUUUGUAAAAAUGUAUUGUAACGGUUUGCUGUAUGUGAGGUAAAAAGGUAAUUAAGAAAUGUAUUCGUAGAAAAUUUAAAAAUUUUUAGAGUAAAAUUGCAAUCCAAACAAGGUUUUCAGAGGCAUUCAUGCAAAAUCCCAAAAACGCAAAAGGAGAUUUUCUAAGGAUGCACUAAGUACAUUCGUGCUAAAUGCACUAAAAUGCAAGGGCUAAUUUUGUGUUACCAAUCUUAAAAAAAAGAAAAAAAAAAAAAAAAAAAACCUCCACAUUGAGUAAAUCCAUAUCAUGUAAAUUGACAGACAAAUAUAUUUGAUGUCACCUGUGAAAAAUGACGUCUGAAAGUGAAAACAUUAGAAAAGCCCUUUGGAUGGUGAUGGCAGGAAAAAGGGUCGAUAAAUUUUGAGUUUAAACCCUUGCACAACAUUGUCAGUUGACCCAUCAAUUCUGGAAUUUCCAGAUCUGGGAUUUGGUUCAGAAGAAAGCUACAAAGCAACCGUCGCCAUAUGUGGCUCACUUUUUGAAAGACAUUUCUUUAUUAUUUUGCAUUAAUAUGGUUAGCAUCAAGACUUCCAAUUUUGAUGUAAUAAGAGUGAAAAAAAAAAAACAAAUCAAUUAAAUGUAAGAACUGCGUCGUCGAUGGCAUGUGGCAUUAGAAUGAGGUGACUCUCCUUUCAUCGUAAGUUUUUUAACGUUCAAGAAAAAAAUUUUUAGUUGAUUGUUAGGCCAAUAUUGUGGAUCUAAUUAGUCACAUUCUUUGAUUAAAAUGAGGGCUAACUUUAAACCCUUAAUAUUAUGACAACAAUCAAGAACCAAAAUAUAAUUCCAAUGAAAAUUAGCUUUUUCAUUCAUUAGUCGAUGUGGUAAUUGGUUGAAGCCCUCUCUCCUUCUUAAAUCUUACUCCCUCCGUCUCACUUUGAUAGUCUUGUUUUCCUUUUUCGUCUGUCCCAAAUUGUAGUCCACUUUACCAAAAAAUGUAGUAAUCUUUUAAAUUGUCUAAAAUACCCUUAUUAAAUAUCUUGUUAUUAAUACAUUGUUAUUAAAUACUAACCCACUACAUUGAAUACAUUGAACUUUUCCAAUACUAACCUAUUAGCUGUAACUGAUAUUAAUUGGCACUCUUCGUGAUUAGCAUAAGGGUAUUUUAGGAAAUUAUUAAUCUAAAUUUAUGUUUCCAACCAAAUUAAUUACACUUUCUUAAUCUGUAUGAAAAAAAAACCAAGACUAACAAAACGGGACGGAGGGAGUAUUUUUUUUCCCUGCUAAAAAAAUGUCAAAAAAAAAGAUUUUUCUAAAAAAAAGAAGAAGAAAGAUAUGGUAACUCAAAAUUGAUGAUUAGGAAUAAGUCAACUUAUGUUUCUAAGCAACUAUUAGCAAUAUGAUUUUAGUACCAAAAAUGGGAAAAGAAAACUUAUAGUAGGAAGAUGAUCAAAUGCACUUGUCAACUCAGAAAUCCCAUGGUUUAUGACACCUCACGUGCAUGUAAUUAAAUGCAAUUGUCUCCUCAUAAGCUUACCAAUGAAAACUACUGCAACUAGCUCAAAUACAAAGCUUCUGCUUUUUUUUUUUUUUUUUCUGUUUCUAUUUUUUCCCCCUCCCCUUUUUUUUUUUUUAUUUCUUUGUCUUACAGGUACGUACUGAGUUGCCUUAAUUUCUUCGUAUCCUUUUAAUAAAAGAGAAAAGAAUAAUAUCAUGGACUGAAGAAACUCUCACUUAAUAGUCAUUGAAUGUAAAAAUUGACACAAGAUUAUCUCCUAGACUAGUCAUAAUCACGAAAAAUUUAGUAGUAUUGAACUCUUGAAAACGAAAAUAAUACACUAGCUAACUGCAAAAUAUUCUAGUUAGCAAGACGUUUUACUCGUAUCUAACAAGUUAUGGAUUCGAACCAUCAAAGGUAAGUGAGGAACUACUAUUGAUCUUAAAACGAGAAAAAAAAAAAGAAAAAAAAAGAGCACCCAAUGUAGAAUGAAAUGACAAAAGCCCUGAAUUGCAAAGGGUGGAUAGAAAUGUGCCAUGUAUCAUUCUUUAAUUGGUUAAUGGUUUUUCAAUGUUUCUUUCAUAGGUAGAGCUACAUAAAUAGAAGACAAAAUGGAGGAUGCAUUAUGACUACGUGAAGCUCCCCCAAAUUAAAGCUUGGCCUGCUGUUCACAUGGAAUGUCCCAGUAGCUAGAGCUUCCACCAAACUUGUUCCGAUCCUAAACAUUUCCAGGUAGGGUGAAAAGUUCUUCUUCAACUCUCAAAGGGGAGGGGGGUUUUUUUUGGGGGGUGGGUAGCUGGGACACCGCUGCUAGACGAUUUAUAUCCCUUUUUAAACACGUUGUAAUUUAACACAGAUUAUAUGUAUAAAUUAGUAGUACAAAAAAAUGUAGUUGUAUUUAAUUAUUUUUUAGGUGAAUUUGUGGAUAUCUAUUUGUGUCGGAAUUACAUGACAUUAGCCUAACUUCAUAUUUCAAUUUUCUAUUCUAUGACCACCAAUUUAUGGACCGUCGUCUCCCUUAAAUGCCUUUUGAGCACAAGAGUUUUCUAGGAGGAUUUUUCUUUUUCUAGUACAAGGAAUAAAUGUUUCUGCAGAGGAUUUAUUGAUUCACAAAUCUUUUGUUUUAUGUUUUUGAAUCCUUUUAUUCAAAUUCGCGAGGAGCAUACAGUUAGAGUUUAAUGCAAAUUGUUAGAUGAAAAUAUCAAAUCAUUGGUAUAAUUUUAUCAUAUGAACUAAUCUUAUGAUACCUCAACUAUACUGUAGAAUUUUACCGUAUUAUGUACACGAUGAAAACUAGUUCAACUUGCAAAAAUCUUUGAAAAUCCUUUCCUUAUUCCCCUCAUUCACUUAUAUAUAGGUUUAAAGCAAGGGUAAAAUUUAGUCAAUUUGGUAAAACUUGAAAGCGUUUUUACCUUUUUUUUAAAAAAAAUUUCCGUUGUAUUUAUAGAAUUUAAUUACCUAAAUAUGGAGUAAUAAAUAGCGGAUCAGAUCGGCCCUCAGGACGGGCUGCUAUCGUUAACAUUACUGGGCCCAAAAGUAGAUCCGUGGGCAAGAAAUCUUGUGGUUAGGUCCGUUAGGUAUCGUUCAAUCCAGCAAGCACACACGAGCGCUUGACCGCAAUAUAGGAACUACCAUGUCUGUUGCGAGUAACAACAUUGGGUGUUUAGAACAUGUUAGGGGAUCCACGCAAAUUGAAUAAAGGCUCAAAAACACCUAUAUUUGUGCCUCACAUGCAAAUGCUUCAGCUGGCUUUUCUCUUAACCAAGGGAUGGUUAUAAAACUGAAUUAUAAAACUGAAAUUUGAAAUUUGAAUUCUGAAUUUACUAAAUUAUUGAAUUGUUAAAUAUUAAAUCUAAUAUAUUUGAAUGUAUAUCAUAUUAAGUGAUAAGUGAAUAGUUUAUCACUUAUUUUUGGAGAAAUUUUGGUUAGGAAAUUUAGUGUCAUUUAAUUAAUUCAAAUAUUUAUUUUUUGUUAUAAAUGUGUUUGAAUAGAUUAAGAUUUAAAUCUAUUAAGUUUUAAAUGUUGAAUUGGGUUAUCAGAUAAAGCAAUUAUAUUUUUUUAAAUAUAGGAUUAAUUUCACUUUAUUCCCCUAAAUAGUUGGGGUAGUUUUCACUUUAACCCUGAACUUAAAAAUAAUAAUAAAAAAAAAGAACUAUGGCCCUCGAGACUAAUAAUCAAACCAUUCUUUAUAAAAUGCUGUAUGCUGAGGCAAUGAAAAACUUACUUUACAUAUCCUUUUGGAUUCUGAUUUUUCAUAAAAUUUUCUUAUAUUUUCCGUGAAUACAUUUUUAAUCAUUUUUUUUAUCUCACAUACAUCAAAUUGUCACAUUACAUUUUUCUUUCAAAAACUCUUAAAAAUAGCAAUCCAAACAAAAGCGUGCUAAAUAAAUUGAGAGAGAGAGAGAGAGAGAGAGAGAGAGAGAGAGAGAAGACAUACAAAUAGUUACUUAAAAACAUAUAAAAUAAGAAAUUCAUUUUUAGAAAACGUUGAAAUUGUUUUCGGUACGCUAUAUGUUUCUAUUUUUUUCCAAAUAAAAAAUCAAUUUCAAUAGGCUAAAUUACAUGCUCUUCAAGGUUUAUUGAGUUAAUAUGUGGUGAAAGUUAGAACAAUAGGGAACUUUCAUGCUUCAAGAAUUAGAGAGCAAAUUCAAGUAAAGACCCGUUUGAAACACGUUUGCAAAGUACAGCCUUUGUUGGACCCAAGUGUAAAAUACAGUUGUUUGAUUAAAUGGCAUUUAUGUCACAAACUUCUUCUUGGUGCCAUCUUAUUGUGAUACAAGCUACAAGUGGUUUUAGUUUUAGGGGGAGAACUGACUUUUUUUUUUCUUUUCUGAAUUUAAGGGGUAAAAUGGAACCAUUCCUCCAAGUUCAGGGAGAAAUUGAAAUUAACCAUAGAAAGUAUACCUAUUGAUUUAGUGAAAUACAAUAUAGCAACUAAUGACAAAUGUAAAUACAAUAAAAAGAAAAAGAAUUGAUCAAUGUCAUUAUAUUAGUUAACUAACUAAUCAUAAUUCAAUUAUAAUUUAUGAAUACUCCAUCCAAUUAGCAAAACCAGGAAUCAAUCAAUGUGAUUACACUAGUUAGGCAAUGCAUAAUAGGGAGCCAAAAUUUAUAUCUCUGUAGUUUGUUUUCAAGUCAUGACUCUUCAAUAAUUUUCCAAAUUAAGAAUUUUUAUUUUUCUUUCAAAUUUUUUCCUAUGUCUAUACGUCUAAACUAUUAAUUUUGUAAUCAAUUAUUCUUAUUUAGUAGUGAGAGGUAAAACAAUAAUGGACUUAAAAAAAUAUAAAUUAAUCUUAAUAUUGUCAUUCCAUCAAAUAUUUAUCUUUUUUUAUCAUACGCUUUUGUUAGCUUCCAUUUUGAUUUGAGUGUCAUGAAUAGGUGGUAUAGAAUUGCAGCAUUUCUUAAGUCCUAACAUUUUUUGCAUUUUAUUUAGGCCUAUUAUUAAAAGUGUUUGAAUGCUAGUUAUUGGCUUGUAAGUUUAAGCUUAAAUUUAUAUUUUCAAAUUAUUUAGCAUACUCAAUAUCUGCUAAUGUAGCAUAGUCAUUGCAUAAAAGGCGCGCCUGUGUUACUAUGGUACCAAAUUAUCAUACUUUUACUAAAAAAAUAUUUUAAUGACUAAUGUUAAGAAAAGGAAUAAUCAGAACGAGGGAAAUAAUUUACAUUUUGUUCUUUUCGGGGAUUUUUAUCGAGCAACAAGGUGUUUAGACGAGAAAUUGCAACUACUAAGAUUAAAUGACAGGCAAACCUGCAUGCAAAAUAUCAUCUCAUCAACAAAUAAGAUCAGAAUAUUUGCUUUGUUUGGAUUGCGGUUUUCCGUUAGAAAAUUACGUCAUUUUCCGCGAUCACAUUUCUAUUACCUUUUUUCCUCACAUAUAUCAAAUCGUACAGUAAUUUUUUCAUGAAAAAUCAUGAAAAAUGCAAUCCAAACACAACUUGAAGUGAUAGAAAACGAGUUUAAAAAAUUAUUUAUCAAUAUAAGGAACAUUAAUCAAGUGGUUGAUAGGUUCCUGGUUCGAUUUUAAGCCCUCCCCACUCCCUUUGUUCCUCACUUUUUUUUUCGUUCCUUUUUUUUUUUUCCCCGGGGGGGGGGGGGGGGGGGGUGGGUUCAGUUGGAGGCAAGAGCCUAGUUACAUAGGAAUAUUACACCCAUAAAAAAGGCCUUUCCUUCUCUCAUUUUCUAGAAGGAGAAAAAAAUUUAGUGGCCAAUAAACUAUUUCAGUCUUAUACUUUUGGCCACUCAAGAGUUUUUAUUUCAAUGUGGUCACUAAACUCUUAAAUCAUUAUAUUAGUGAUUAUUCCGUCAAAUGUUGUUGUUAAUGCUAAUGGAAUGGGGUUUAUGUGCAUUUCACAUGCUAAAAAAUGAGGACGAUUUCAUCCAACCAUAGGGAAACAAAUUUUACUGGCCACUAAUGUAUUCAAUUUAUACAUUUCUUGCCACUAAAAAGAUUUUUCGUUUCAAAUCGCUGUCCAACUUAGCAAAAUGGUAUACUAGCUGUAAUUCCAUCUGCUUUUCUCUUAAAUUCUUUGAUUUUCAUCCAAUUCUACAUUUGAGCUUAAAUGGUAAAUUUUUCAAGUUAUUUUUUCCACCUAGAGUUUUAAAUUUUCAAUAGUACAAAAAAAAAAAUUAGAAUCUAUAAAAGUCAUUUUAAUAGAUUCUAAUUUAUAAGUUUUGACAAAGUAUCUAAAUUAUAUAAUGAAGUUUUUGUGAAAUAAUUCCAUGAACCUGAAACUAAAUGAAAAUUGUAGAUCUAAUGACAAAAUUUGAAUGAAGACUGCUAAUAUACUAUUUUGCUUAGUUUAGUGGCCGACUUGAAACAAAAAUAGUUGAGUAGCCAAAAUUGUAUUGUUUGUAUAGUUUAGUGGCUAUUUAAGAUUUUGUCUCUUCUUUUAGGAAAAAUUUACCUGUAGUUUUGGCAUGUGCAAUGCAUAUGUAACUCAUUCCGUUAGGGUUAAUAUCGAAUUUUGAUAGAAUGACUACUAAUAUACACAUUUAUAAGUUGAGUGGCUAUUUUAAAUCAAAAACAAUUGAGUAACUAAAAGUGUGCUAAUAGAAUAGUUUAGUAGCCACUACAAUUGUUUCCCUUUAUAGUAAGUAAGGGUGUAAAUUAAUCAACUAACUAAGCUCGGACUUAUGAGUAGUUCGCUCAAAAGUUUGACUCGAAUUUGAUGUAGAUCGCGGUCGAGUCGGGUUCAAGUUGUUUGAGAAGUUAAUCAAGUCAAGUUGAAGUAGAAAAAAAAAAAUCAAAACUCAAGUACUCAUCGAACCUUAUCAAAUAGUGUAUUUAUAAUAUAAUUUUUAAUUAUUUAUUAUAAAAUUCACUAAAAAUCGAGGUUGAAAAACUUGAUUCAACUCGAUUAAAAUCGAUUGAGCUUGAUUAGUUCGAGUUUGAGUAAGGUAAAAUAAGCUCAAACCUUAUUGAAUAGUGAAAUUAUAAUACAAUUUUAAUUAUUUAUUAUAAAAUUAUAAAAUUCACUAAAAAAUCGAGGUUGAAAACUCGAUUGAACUCGAUUGUGCUUGAUUAGUUCGAGUAAGAUAAAAUAAGCUCAAACUCAACCUCGAGCUCAAGUUUGAAGAAUCAACGAGCUCGAGCUCUAACAUUUUUACUCGAAUAGAGCUCGGGUAGGCACUAUUCAAAUUCGACUUGAUUCGAUAAAAGCACUACUAUUAAGGUUUGGAGUUGCUCUUGAACCAACAUUAAUACAUAGAUGAUUUUAAGAAAAAAAAAGGUCUCUCGGAUGCUUUGGGUUGUGGGCCUUCUAUUGGGUAUUUUGCACUUAGGCCUGUUAGUUGGCCUGUGUUUGGUGGUGUUUCGAAGCUAAAACUUGUGCCAAAUGCCCAUCAAGAUGAACCAUGCGACCUUCACCGUGAGUUCAGCAUCCUUCUUUUUCUUCUCCUUUUCUUCUUUGUUGCUGCGACUUUUUACGUGUACCAUUCCGCAAAAGAAUUUUUUUCCUCUUCUUUGAUUUUUUUUGGAUUGUUCUCCAUAUUAUAUAUCUAAUCUAUACAAUGUAUGUACACCUACCAAAUUUAAAUUAACAAAAAGUUUGGCUGAUGAGUGCCCUAAGGUACUCGUUAAGGGAUGAUUGAUGUGCUAAUUUAUUAUAGGGUAAAAAACAAAAAAUCCUGUGAUAAACCCAAUAUAUAGAAAAGUCCUCUGUAGUUUCAAAACGUACAACAUGACAUCUUAUGUUUUGAACUAAAUUGUAAAGAUGACGGAAUCCGUUAAAAUUAACGGAACGGAUAAAAUGAUAAAAAUGCCAUGAUAUAACUAAGCAAAAGACAGUUCAACAAAAUCAUUUGUUUCAUUCUCUAGAAAGAGAAUUGGAGGCUAAGGAGUAGAACAGUUAGAUUUGUUUCAUUCUCAAGUGUAGAGUGCUUAUGAAUUUAUAUGGUAAGUUAGAUAUAAAUUUAGGAGUACAAACGAUACAAGCACCUAGUAGAAAAUGUACUAGAAAAACUAAAGGGUCUUUUUGAAUUAGCUUGUUUUUAAGCACAAAAACCAUGAUAACACCCAAAAAAAAAAAAAAAACAUCAAAAAGCACACCAAAAACUCCAAAAAAAGAAAAAAAUCAUAGCACCAUUCUACUACCUUAUCACGCUUCUUGCUCAACCAUCAACUUAUGUUAGAAAUAUGAUGAGAAGUUUUCACGCCCAUACGUAACAUAUCGAGAAGAAGGUAUUGAAGAGUCGGUAUACGUUGCAAUGAGUAAUGUUUCUGGAGGAUUUUACAUGCUACUCUGGCAGUUCCUUGUUUGGCCCAUGGCACUGAUAGAAAUAAAUUCCGCCUUUUUCUGACUAACGAGAAAACAAAAUUGUCAUCUAUCAAAAGAAGAGAAAAAGAGGCUGGAGAAGAAACCAAAUUAAGAAGUCUGAAAUUUAUGGAGCCCAAUAAGCAAGAAAAUGUCUGCGUGCAUGCAUUUGCUUGACAGCCGCGACUGGCCAUCCUUUUAUUACUUCAUGCAUUUGUUCUUUUUUCCUUUUUACUCUUUUGAAGUAGCAUAUGAUUAAAUUUUUUACCAUUAGAAAUGAUUUUAUAUACGCAUUCCCAGCCUGAACUGGUCUACUUGACGCACCUUGCAAAUUGUUGAACUUCUGUUUCUCUUACUUGAGACACGUACAUGCGUCGCCAGUAGUUUUGAAAUCAUUAGCCUUUGAACGAGCAGGUAUGGAUUUUGUCGUUCUUCGCAGCUAUUGAUUUAUUUAAAAAUGAAUAUAUGGGCAGUAAUGAAUAGGUAGGGUUGGCAAAAAAACCUCCAAAAUCCAAUAGUCCGCCCAUCUCACCCGUUAAUUUUAAAGGAUGGGUUGAAUUAGUUGGGUUAUAAAUUUUAUUGGGUUGGGUAAGAACAAUUUAACUUAUUCAUUGAGCGGGUUGAAUUUUUAUUUGAGCAUCCAAUACUCAAUCUAUUUAAAAAUAAUUUAAAACAAUAAAUACAAGAUUCAACACACAUAUGCCUAAUCACUUGCAUUUGGACAUGUGUUAACAGUUCAUUAACCAAUUUGUAUUCAAAAUUCUCAUAUAUAUAUAUAUAUAUAUGUUUUAAAUCAAUUUUUUUAAUUUUUAUUUAAAGAAAAUAGAAAUUUGAAAUAAAAACCCAUGCUUAUUUUACUUUUACAACAGUAGUCAAACUUGUUCAACAUCCAUAAUAAUUUAUUAUGACUUUUAAGCGUGUGUUGUUUUCAUCCUUUUUUUUUUCUUUUUUUGGUUGUUAUUCUCCUAUUGCUACUUGCUUCUAUUUGUUAAAAUUUCGUAUAUCUAGAAUAGAGUUUUAAAUUUGUUCUAAUUGCAUUCUUUCUUUUACUUUUCUCUGACUUGUUUUAUUUCAUUGUUAAUAAUUUCUCAUCAAUAUUAUAAUACAACAAAUUAUAUGUCUCUUAAUUAAAUUUUCAAGCAUAAUAUAAUCUAGCAUUCAAUAAUUUAAAUACAUAGAAUAUUACAAGUUACAAUAAAGUAGAUAUAAAUAGUAAAAGUGUUAAAUAAGUUGUGACUAGAAUAAGUUUCAAUCAAUUUGUAGUAUUAAAAAGUAUGAAGUAAACAAUUUUUUUAGCUAAUCUAUUUAAAUGUACAAUUUAUUAUCUAAAAUUUGCAAUACAAGCAACAUAAUAAUAUUAUUCUAUUUAUGAUAUGUUUCCAAGGAGCUUAAGAAGUGAGUGUAUGUUCGUGUGUGUGAAAGUAUAGUUAUGUAUGUGAAAAAAAUCUUUUUGUGCGCAUCAAUGUAUAAGAGAGAGUUUAUGUAUUAUCACAAUGUAUUAAUUAAUAGGUUAGGUUAUAUAUUUGGAUCAUGAAUUUGAGAUGAUCUAAUAUAACUCAACCAAAAAUCAACCCAAUCUAAAAUUGAAUGGGUUAAAUAUAAUCUAUUUAAGUGAAAAUUCAAUAUUAACCAUCAAUCCAUCCCAAGUGCCAACUACCUAAAAUCCAAGUGCCAGCAGGGAGCUCAACUGUGACCAUAUGCGAUAGUAUCCUGUAGGUCACCAGUUUGAACUAGGGCUGAUGCUGAAUCGAAUAGCUUGACUCGAGCUCGAGUUGCUUGGUAGAAGCAACGAGUCAAGCUUGAGUUUCAAUAUUUUGCACUCGAAAGCUUGACGAGCUUAAUCGAGCUUUUUAUAAUAUAUAUUUUAAUUUUUAUUAUUAUGAAAUGUCAAUAAUAUCUUUUAUUUAAAAUUAUAUAUAAACUAUUAAUUUUAAUUAAUUGAGCUUGAUUAGGCUUGAUUGAACUCGAAUAAGCUCGAUUGAGUUUGAUUUGAAUUGAUUACAUUUAAUUAAACUCGAGCUCGAGUAACAUAAAUUGAUGUCGAGUUCGAGUUCGAGCUCGAAUUUUAAAAGCUCGACAAGCUCGAGCUCGAUCUCGAACUUAGUUAUUUAACAUCGAUCGAGCUCGAGUAGCGCACUACUCGAGCUCUACUCGAUCUGAACGCAACCCUAAUUCGAACUUUGCUGUGCAUCCUUGGGGGGGCUCUGUACAGCCUCAGGGAUUAGUCCGGCAAAAAUGCUGGGAUACCCCCUUGUGACAAAAAAAAAAAAAAAAAAAAAAAGGGUACCGCAACAAAUCUUAAAACAAGACGACAUAAAAGGUCCCCACAAUUCCCAGAAAUAUUUAUCAUCAAUUCAUCAUCCUCAACUUGGAUUUAAGGUUUAAGGAUCUUUGUCAACUCGGCUCGGGUACAAGGCCAGGAAUCAACGCAAGGCAUUAAAUACAAUUAACUUCAUUUCCAUCAUCAUCUUCCCGAAUUCAUCAUUCAAAGUUCAAACCUGAAAGCCAUUCACUAUCAUGCGAUAAGUCCAAUUACAUCCAACAGUUUACAAAUAAAAAAAAAAAAAUCAACCAACCUAAUAGAAUAUUACAAGCAACUUUGAAUUGAAAAAAAAAAAGAACAGAAAAGGAAAGUACAACCAAACACUUAAAACCAAUGCUAAAAAGUUAAUGGGCUAACGAAUGGCUAAUGGGCUAAUGCUGGCAAAAGAACUGAGAUGUAUAUACAUCAUGAUAUGGAAUACAGCUUGUUCUAAUUAUAGUAUAGUGUAUGAGUUCAAGUCCAUUACACAAACAUGCUAAAGAAAAGAAAAGAUAAAAGAUGUAACGUUGAUUGAUUAAAAAAUUUGAAGCUUAUAAUUAGAGUAAAUUUUAUAUAUACUGUUAUAGUGUAUAUACUAUCAUGAUUCGAUGGAUGAUACAUGAGUAAAUUUUAAAUUUUAAAUUCAAAAUUUGCACAUGUGUCAUAUAUCUAAUGGGGAUAGUAUAAAUAAGAUUAAUCGUAAAUAUUAAGACAAGCUCUGAUAUUAGUGGGUUAACAACUACUUGACUUUAUCAGAUUUUCUCUCCUUACCUGGUUCAAUUGAAAAAGAAGAAGAAGAAGAAGGAAUAAACAUGUUGAUAGCCGUCAAGACCAAAAGGUGAAAAUUUCUCAGAGGAAAGAUCAAGAUUAAACUUUAAAUUAAAAGAAAUCAUCAAAACAAGGAGAUAGAAAAAUGAAUCGAAAUUAAUUAGCAUUAAGAUGAAAAACGAACAGAUUAAAAUCUUAAUAAGGGGAAAAAUAAAUGUUGAAUGAACCAAGAUUCCAAAUUUAGCAAAAGAAAAUAGUCUUCACCACCUUAUCCACUUGCCGGUUCGAGAUUAGAUUGCAAAUCGAGAACUUGUGGAGUUAUGGAAACAUAGAUUGAACCUGAAGAAUGGGAAAAAAAUUCUUUGAAGGUGCUGAAGCCAAAGGAAGAGAAAGGGACUAAUGGAGAGAGAAGAGAGAGAGAGAGAGAGAGAGAGAGAGGAGAGUGACGGCUCAACUGUGUUGAUCAUUGGGGUUUCGUCAUUGUCUCGGACCCUUCCGAUACGAUAUCGGAAUGAUACGAUUUUGAGAUACUUGCCACACUGAACAUUACCGUGAAGGGUUGAAAUGGCGAGGUCACACCGAAUCACUUCGAAUCAUCCCAAGUUAACUUAAAUUUUUAUUAUUUUUACUAAUUUUUAAAUUAUUUUUAUUUAUAAUAUUUUUUACAAUUUUUAGAAUAUUAAAUAUUUCAAAAAUUUGCGUUUUGACAAAACCGCGACUGAUAUGCCGAAAUCGAUGUGAAACGGUCCGGACCACGAUCGCGACUUUGAGCCAUGGUUAUGAUAGGUUUCGUUUAGUUUGUAAGAAACUCAAAAACCGUUGGUUAAUGGUUCAUCCGGUUUUUAUCGGUUCAAAAGGUUUGAUGGGUUAUUAACGGCCUCAUAUUGUCUAACGGAUUUAGCAUUCAAUCGGAUCGUCCGAAGGCCGAUUCACAGUUGACCGAAUCAACCGAUUCGAUCUGGGUUUAAAAACAAUCUCCAUCCCGCAUCUUCUCCACUUGCCAAGAUUGCGGACGAGGGCCUGGACGGUUGUCUCUUGACAACCGUCCCAGAUAGUUCACGGCUUGGAUGAGGCCUCAAAAAUUUGUGCGGCUCAGAUUACGUCUUGUAACUCGAUUUUCACGUAGUGUGGGACCCACAAAAAUGUUGUUCUAAUGUUACUCGCUGUUGUUUUAUUGUUACACCUUGUACAGAUGAUAUCACACCAUAUACAAAUGAUGUUACACCUUCCGGAGCGGUUAUUCUGACAACCGCUCCAGCCUCGCGUCCCAAGAUUGCACACAAGUCAGGUCUGCCAGCGGUCUUCGAAAGUGGUGGAGCCCAAAAUUAGGAAAAAAAUGGCCUCAAUUUUGCUGUCGGUUGCCUAAUUGGACUGCAGGUUUCUUCACAUAUUGCACCGGCCUUUCCAUCCUUAUCCGACCUUUAUAUUCAAAAUAUCUCCAAAAUAAUAAAGCCAGCGCAAAUGGAUACUUAAAAUCUCUUUAUCCAAUCACCACUUGCGCAGUUACCCCGGCUUAAAGUCAUAUAAACAUGCUGCCCUGCUGAUGGAGGUAUCCAGAGAGAGUAAAAUAUUAAAGUCUAGAGUGUAAAACAAUAGGGGGAAGGAAGGAAGAAGGUUUAUGGAUACUAUAGUGUCUUCCCUUGUAAUCUCUUUUGUCAUCUGGGUAUGUAUCUAUGUGCUCGCUUCAAAUUCAAGGCCCCGGAAAUCAGCAGCCAGACUCCCUCCGGGGCCUUAUUCAUUUCCAAUCAUCGGUAAUCUCCAUCAGCUUGGUAAAAAGCCCCAUCAAUCAUUUGCCAAAUUAUCCAGAACUUAUGGACCUCUGAUGUCUCUUAAGCUAGGGAGCAAAACAACCAUACUUGUAUCAUCUGCAACUGUUGCAAGAGAAGUGCUACAAAAGUAUGACCGGAUGUUUUCAAGCCGAGCAAUCCCCACUGCAGUUCAAGCACUCGAUCACCACAAGUUCUCUUUGGUCUGGCUGCCACCUUCCAGCCAAUGGCGGAACAUGAGCAAGAUGUGCAAAGAUAAUAUUUUUGCAACACCAAGGCUCGAUGCUAACCAAGGCCUUCGUCAAGAAAAGCUUCAAGAAUUACGUGAUUAUUUGCGUCGGUCUAGCCAUAGCAGGAAAGCUGUGAUUGUUGGUGAUGCAGCCUUCACAACAUCUCUUAAUUUGAUAUCAAGGACUCUAUUUUCUAAAGAUUUUGCCAACUAUGACUCUGACUCGUCUCAAGAACUCAAAAGAGAUUGUGUGGGGGUGAUGAAAGCUGCUGGCGCUCCUAAUCUCUCAGAUUACUUUCCAGUUCUACAGAUGAUUGAUCCUCAGGGAAUCAUGAGGGACAGCAAGUUCUAUUUCCAGAAGUUGUUUGAUAUUUCUGAUGAUAUCAUUAAUGAACGGCUACAGGUCAGAGGUACAUCAGAGGCUAAGAAGAAUGAUCUGUUGGAAGCACUGCUGGAUCAUAGCAUAAAGAAUGAGUUUGAGUUCGGCCGCAAUGAUCUCAAACAUUUGCUUUUGGUAAGUGUUAACCUGAUCACCUUUAUAAGCUAGUUGGUUAUAAAUUUACAUGGCUAAAAACUUUGUCAAUGUAUAAUUAAUUUCUUGUCCUUCCGUUGACCCUGGGGCUGAUUCUGUGCAUUAAUAUUAUAGUCGAUGGGAAGUUUUGCUCGACUGAUUCUCUUAAGAAAUUAAAUGGCAACCUCUGACAUUGAUUGUCAUGAAAAUUUAUCAUUUGGUAAAAUGCUGAAAAUUAAUGAUAUCCUCUAGCUAUAGAAUGACUGCUAUAACAUGGCUUGUAGGGUACUUAACUUGUAAAGUGCAGGGCAGAAAUAUAGGUUGGAACUUGGAAUAGAAUUGAAUCUUUAGUGGAAAUCUUCAACUUUGCACGAUAAUCUCACAUCAUAUGGCAGGAAUUAGGAAAUCUGUUGGCUUGACAUCAUUCUAAGUAUGGUUUCUACCAGGAGCUAAUUGUGGCAGGAACAGAAACUAAUUCAACCACUGUGGAGUGGGCUAUGGCAGAGUUACUACGCAGCCCUGAUAAGAUUGCUAAAGCUAAAGCCGAGCUCAAGGAAGUCAUUGGACAGAAGGAAGUAGUCCAAGAAUCAGAUAUCUCGAGGCUCCCUUACUUGCAAGCGGUAAUCAAAGAAACUUUUCGGCUACACCCCGCAGGACCAUUGCUUGUUCCUCGCAAAGCUAAUGAUGAUGUAGAAAUCAACGGUUACAUAGUGCCAAAGAACACACAAGUACUUGUCAACGUGUGGGCUUCGGGUAGAGAUCCCACAACAUGGUCAGAUCCUAAGAUUUUUGAGCCAAAGCGAUUUUUAGGCAGUGAAAUUGAUGUGAGAGGCCAGCAUUUCGAGCUCAUCCCCUUUGGUGCAGGGAGGAGAAUAUGUCCUGGAUUGCCUCUGGCUUAUCGAAUGGUGCAUUUGAUGCUAGCUGCUUUCAUUCACAACAUUGACUGGAAGCUUGAAGAGGGAAUGAAACCAGAAGAUUUGGACAUGGAUGAAAAAUUUGGGCUGUCAGUUCACAAGGCUUUGCCUCUGGAGGCUAUUCCAGUUAAGCUAUGAGUGCAAUCCAAUAAUUUGUAGGCCUAAUCAUUUCAGAUGAUUAGAAUUGAGAUUGUUGCGUGUUUUGUAUGUAAAAUCUUUAACUAGAACACUGAAACGUUCGAUCCCUUCACAUGUAGCGCGUAUAUGACCAAGAAAACCACCUAAGUGGUCAAAUUUUAAUGCCAAGGAUGUUGGUAACAAUUGUUUUCAAUAAAUAAAAAAAAAGAAGAAGAAAGCCUCUCAAAGCACCUGCAAAUAUUUCAAAAAAGGCCAAGUCAAGUUGGAAGAACAAUAAUAUACUCUAGAUGGCUGUUGACAUCAACGACUUUUUAAUUCCUUGGGAACAAAAACUCUUUAAACAGCCAUUGAAUUGUAAAGUGGAAAAAAUACAAAAUGGGACAUCACCCCAAAAUGUCAAAAACAAAAUAAGAAAAGCAGAGACAGGGGUUACAGACUCCAAAAAGUCAAUAUGGUAGCCUGAUUAAUAUUUCCAGCUAAAUCCAGUUGAGGUAGCCUGAUUAGUAUGUCUAGCUAAAUCCAGCUUUCCAACAGUCACAGCUCAAGCAGAAAUAUUUAAGUACUCAGGGUAAUUUGCGCUGAUAAAGAGGCGGAGCACCAAGAGCUUCCCGUUCUCCUCUCUCCACUUUACCUAUUCAAUAGGGAUAAUUUCAGAAAGAGCAAAUUACCUGGAUGACUACCAAACUUUUAGAAUCGUUGAGUUUUGACCAUUGAACUAUUAAAAAUCUGGUUUUAACCACUGAAUUAUCUAAAGUUUAGAUAUCGAGUCAUUCUGUUAGAUUUAAUCAUUAAACAUGACAGAUUUGAGUGUUCGCACGAUUUAAGAGACAAAAGAAAGAGGUAUAGUUAAUGAUUAAAUAUGACGGAAUGACAAAAAAUUUAAACAUUAGAUAGUUUAGUGAUCAAAACCAAACUUUUAAUAGUUCAGUGGUUAAAACUCAACGAUUUCAAAAGUUCAAUGGUCAUCCGAAUAAUUUGCUCUUUCAGAAACCUCCCCUGAAGUUUCUGAGAGUCUCACUACCCUCCUUUGAGGUUUCUAAAAUAUCAGAAACCUCUUCUAUUAUGUCAUUGGGGUCCAAUUGUUACAUCAAACAUGGAGAAAUGACUUAAUUACCCACACAACUUAAGAGAUAUUUCACAAUUAUGUUCACAUGAUUAGUUAAAUUGUUAUUAACUAGUUAUCUAUUUGGCAAACAAGUUUUUUGCCAAGUUUUUCUCCUACAAGUUUUUUAACCAUCUUAGUUACAAUGGGCAAGAAAAUGUCUGCGUGCAUGCAUUUGCUUCACAGCCGCGACUGGCUAUCCUUUUAUUAGUUCAUGUUUGUUCAUGCAUUUGUUCUUUUUUCCGUUUUACUCUUUUGUAGUAGCUUAUGAUUAAAUUUUUACCAUUAGAAAUGAUUUUAUAUGCGCAUUCCCAGCCUAAACUGCUCUACUUGACGCACCUUGCAAAUUGUUGAAAUUCUGUUAAUGGGCUAAUGCUGGUAAAAGAACUGAGAUGUAUAUACAUCAUGAUAUGAAAUACUGCUUGUUCAAGUAAUAGUAUAGUGGUAUGAGUUCAAGUCCAUUACCCAAACUUGCUAAAGAUAAUAAAAGACAAAAGAUGUAACGUUGAUUGAUUAGAAAAAUUUGUAGCUUAAUAUUGGAGUAAAUUUUGCACAUACUAUUAGUGUAUAUACUAUCACGAUUAGAUGAAUGAUACAUGAAUAAAUUUUAAAUUUCUAAUUCAAAAUUUGUACAUGUGUCAUAUAUCUAAUGGUGUAUCUAAUGGUGUAUAGGAGAUUAAUCAUAAAUAUUAAGACAAGCUCUGAUAUUAGUGGGUUGACUUUAUCAGAUUUUUUCUCCUUGUCUGGUUCAAUUGAAAAAAAAAGAAGAAGAAGAAGAAGAAGGAAUAAACAUGUUGAUAGCCGUCAAGACCAGACGGUGAAAAUUUCUUAACGAAAGAUCAAGAUUAAACUUUACAUUAAAAAAAAAUCAUCAAAACAAGGAGAUAGAAAAAUGAAUGGAAAUUAAUUCGCAUUAAGACGAAAAACGAACAGAUUAAAAUCUUAAUAAGGGUUAAAAAAAUGAAUGUUGAAUGAACCGAGAUCCCAAAUUGGCAAAAGAAAAUAGAGUUUUCACCACCUUAUCCACUUGCCGGUUCGAGAUUAGAUUGCAAAUCGAGAACUUUUGGAGUUAUGGAAUCAUAGAUUGAACCUGAAGAAUGGGAAAAAAAUUCUUUGAAGGUACUGAAGCCAAAGGAAGAGAAAGAGAAUAUGGGGAGAGAGAGAGGAAAGCGACGGCUCCACUGUUGAUCGUUGGGCUUUGUGGUUAUGAGACACGGGAUCCUCAGUGCCACUUUUCCGGUGGCAAUUCAGUGCCACUUUUAUAGUUAUGUCAAGUGUCCUGUUUAUGUAAUUUGUCAUGUGCUAUUUAUUUAAAUUUCUUCUAUUAUCACGUGAUAAGUGGGAUUGACACUGAAUUUGGUACCGACUAGUGAUAUAGAGAAUCUUAACUAAUGGUUAUGAUAGGUUUCAUUUAGUUUGUAGGAAACUCAAAAACCGUUGGUUAAUGGUUCGUCCGAUUUUUAUCGGUUCAAAAGGUUUGAUUGAUUAUUGACGGCUUUAUAUUACUCAAUGGAUGUAGCAUUCAAUCGGAUCAUAGCACUAGCGGAGCAAAAAAAAAUUCUCAGUGAGAGCAAAAGUAACACUAAAAUUUUUUACCUAUUCUUUUCCUAAUUUUUUAAGUAAAAAAAUAUUCAUCAACAAGUUAAAAUGAAAAGUCUUUUUAAGCUCACUUUAAAUGAAACUUUGUGGCUUACAUAUUUUUUUAGAAUAUUAGUUCAUGAACUAACUUAAAGGACCACGUAAUUCUUUCGUUUCCUUCAUAAGAAAAAUCUGAGAGCAUACUUAAAAUUAUAUCAAAAUUCUAUGAAUACUAUAGGAAUUUAAGGAGAGCAGUGGGGACCCGUGCCCCUGGUGCCCCCACCUUAAAUCCGCCACUAGAUCAGAGUUAAGGUAAAUUCACAGUUCAAUCGAUCGAAUCGACCGAUGCAAUCCGAUUUCAAAAACACUCUCCAUACCCCAUCUUCUCCACCUAGCUAGAUUGUACCCAAGUCAGGUCUGCCAGUGGUCUUCGAAAGUGGUGGAGCCCAAACUUAGGAAAAAAAGGCCUCAAUUUGUGCUGUUGGUUGCCUAAUUGGACUGCAGGUUUCUACACAUAUUGCACCGGCCUUUCCAUCCUUAUCCGAUCUUUAUAUUCAAAAUAUCUCUACAAUAAUAAAGCCAGCGCAAAUGGACACUCAAAAUCUCUUUAUCCAAUCAGUAGGGAUGGCAACGGGACGAGGUUGGAGCGGGGGAUCCCUCCCCAUCCCUCGCCCCGUCUCUCGUUUCUCGCUCACCCCGCCCCGCACCCGCAGGGUAAAUAAAAAUUUGUUAUAUAAUUUUAUUAUAGUUAAAAUUUAGCAAAUAAUCAAGUACUAAAAUAUCAAAACAUUAUCAAAUUAUUAUUUAUUAUAAUUUCACAAUUGAAACUUAUAAAAACAAUCAAACAAAAGUUAUUUGAAUACAAUCCAACAUGAUAAAAUAAAUACAACUAAAGUAGUCAAGUUUUCACUUUUUGCACAAAUACAAUCACUAAUUCAUUAUUAUACUUGUGCUUUUUUUUUUGAAAAAAAAUGUUAUUGUAUUAAGCGUAACUAGGAAAUUAGUAUAAAUGUAUUAGUAAAUUUAAUAUAACUAAUUAAUAAUUUGUAUUAGUACACAUAUAUAAUUAUUAGUAUAAUUGAUAAUAUCAAUUAUAUUACAUAUACUAAUAUAUAUUAUAUAAUACAUAUAACUAAUAAUAUCAUUAUCAUAAGUUUGUAACUAAUUAAAUUAUAUAUUAUAUACAAUUAUAUACAUAUUAUAUAUAUAUAUUUAAAGCGGGUGGCGGGCCGGAGAUAGGGCGGAGGUACACUUCCCGCCCCCGCCCCGUUUCUAAGCGCCUCAUCCCACCCCCGCCCCAUUAGACCCCGCGGGGCGGGUUGCCAUCCUUGCCAAUCACCAUUUGCGCAGUUAGUCAGUUACCCCAGUUUGCAGUCGUAAAAACAUGUUGCCCUGCUGAUGGAUCCAGAGAGAGUAAAAUAUUGGAAGUCCAGAGGGUAAAACAAUAGGGGGAAGGAAGGAAGAAAGAAAGGCUUAUGGAUACUACAGUGUCUUACCUUGUGCUCUAUUUUGUCAUCUGGGCAUGCAUCUAUGUGCUCACUUCAAAUUUAAGAUCUCGGAAAUCAGCAACCAGACUCCCUCCGGGGCCUUAUUCAUUUCCAAUCAUCGGAAAUCUCCAUCAGCUUGGUAAAAAGCCCCAUCAAUCAUUUGCCAAAUUAUCCAGAACUUAUGGACCUCUGAUGUCUCUUAAGCUAGGGAGCAAAACAACCAUACUUGUAUCAUCUGCAACUGUUGCAAGAGAAGUGCUACAGAAGUAUGACCGGAUGUUUUCAAGCCGAGCAAUCCCCACUGCAGCUCAAGCACUCGAUCACCACAAGUUCUCUUGGUCUGGCUGCCACCUUCCAGCCAAUGGCGGAACAUGCGCAAGAUGUGCAAAGAGAAUAUUUUUGCAACACCAAGGCUCGAUGCUAACCAAGGCCUUCGUCAAGAAAAGCUUGAAGAAUUACGCGAUUAUUUGCAUAGGUCUAGCCUUAGCAGGAAAGCUGUGAAUGUUGGUGAUGCAGCCUUCACAACUCCUCUUAACUUGAUGUCAAGGACUCUAUUCUCUAAAGAUUUUGCCAACUAUGGCUCUGAUUCGUCUCAAAAACUCAAAGAGAUUGUGUGGGGGGCAUGGUUCAAAGUCGCUGUUGUGGUUGCGGUCGUUGUCUGACUGUUUCACAUCGGUCUCGGUCUCGGCGAGACGUGAAUUUUUAAAAUAUUUAAUAUUAUAAAAAUGGUAAAAAAUAUGAUAAACAAAAAUAAUUAAAAAAUUAGUAAAAAAAAUAAAAAUUCGAGUUGAUUCGGAGUGAUUCGGUAUUAUUUGGCCGUUUCAACCCUUCACGGUGACGUUUCGGCGAGUCAAGUAUCUCGAAAUCGUAUCGUUCCGAUAUCAUAUCAGAAUGGCUGAGACGGUGACGACUCGGCUGAGUCGUCUCAGACACGGCCAAGUCUUUGAAACUCGGGGUGAUGAAAACUGCUAACGGUCCUGAUCUCUCAUAUUACUUUCCAGUUCUACAGAUGAUUGAUCCCCAGGGAAUCAUGAGGGACAGCAAGUUCUAUUUCCAGAAGUUGUUUGAAAUCUUUGAUGAUAUCAUUGAUGAACGGGUACAAGUCAGAGGUUCAUCAAAGACGAAGAAAAAUGAUCUGUUGGAAACACUGUUGGAUCAUAGCAUAAGGAAUGUGUUUGAGUUUGGCAGAAAUGAUCUCAAACAUUUGCUUUUGGUAAGUGUUAACCUGAUCACCUUUAAUAAGCUAGUUGGUUAUAAACAUACGUGUCUAAAACCUUUGUCUAUGUAUAAUUAAUUUCAUGUCGUUCCGCCUGGGACUGAUUCUGUGCAUUAAUAUUAUAGUGGAUAGGAAGUUUUGCUCCACUGAUUCUCUUAAGAAAAUAAAUGGCAACCUCCCAUUGAUAGUCAUGAAAAUUUACCAUUCGGUUAAAUGCUGAAAAUUAAUGAUAUCUUCUACGUGUAGAAUGACUGCUAAUACAUGGCUUGCAAGGUACUUAAGACUAGUAAAAGUGCAUGGCAGAAAUAUAGGUUGGAAUAGAAUUUAAUCUUUAGUGGAAAUCUUCAACUUUGCAUGAUAAUCUCACAUCAUAUGGGCAGGAAUUAGGAAAUCUGUUGGCUUGACAUCGAUCUUAUUGUGGUUUCUACCAGGAUCUAUUUGUGGCAGGAACAGACACCACUGCCGCCGCUGUGGAGAGGACAAUGUCAGAGUUAUUACGCAACCCUGAUAAAUUGCUAAAGCUGGAGCAGAGCUCAAGGAAGUCAUUGGACAGAAGGAAGUAGUCCAAGAAUCAGAUAUCUCAAGGCUCCCUUACUUGCAAGCGGUAAUCAAAGAAACUUUUCGCUACACCCCGCAGGACCAUUACUUGCUCCUCACAAAGCUAAUGAUGAUGUAGAAAUCAAUGGUUACAUGGUGCCAAAGAACACACAAGUACUUGUCAACGUGUGGGCUUUGGGUAGAGAUCCGGCAACAUGGUCAGAUCCUGAGAUUUUUGAGCCAGAGCGAUUUUUAGGCAGUGAAAUUGAUGUGAGAGGCCAGCAUUUCAAGCUCAUCCCCUUUGGUGCAGGGAGGAGGAUAUGCCCUGGAUUGCCUCUGGCUUAUCGAAUGGUGCAUUUGAUGCUAGCUGCUUUCAUUCACAACAUUGACUGGAAACUUGAAAGAGAAAUUUCUAAAAUUAUGAUGAAUUUUAAAAAAUUCUACAAAUGAGGCAUUUUGAGUAUCGGAUUCCGCCCAAGGAGCUCGCAUUUUCUGAAUCUGAAGUCCCCUUGAAUUUUCAACCAAAAAAUGCGAGGUCUGUUACGUCGCAUUUAAGAGAUGCGAGGUCACUUACCUCGCAUUUAACAAAUGUGAGGUCAGUGACCUCUCAUUUCUUAACAGACAAUCGCAUUUCACUCUAUUUGUUUGGAAGAAUGAUUAAACGAACUCUGCAAUAGCUUAGUUUGUUUCAGGGGCUGCUUGGUUAAAAGGUUUGGGAAUCAAAUAAUGGAAUGAACCCCUUAUUUGUUGCUUGGGUUAAGUCUAUUGGAAUGCAAUUUCUGGAAUCAUUUCUAAAAAAUCGGACUUUCACCAUUCCUGAGUAAAUUGGGAGGUUUUGGACAAAACCCUCAACUCAUUCCCGAGCAAAAACAUUUAUGACGAACCUACCCUCUUUUUUUCUUCAUUACACGCCGCUUCUGUUCUUCUUCUUCAUCAGAUUUUCUACCUCUUCUACUUCACCGGUUGGACAACCAUAAAGAUCAGUGGCUUUCGACUCUCCUUGGACAACGAAUUCUAGAGUUGAAGAGUCUUCUACUAGGGUGAAUUCCUUGAUCCCAGGUCAGUGGAUUACAAACUCCCUUGCCUCUGCAAUUUUCUUUUCGUAUGCAAGCUUUUCUCUUUCUUCUUCUCUGUUUUUUCAGGCUACUCACUGGGUAGCUGAAAAUAAAGAAGAAAAGAAGGGAAUCUGAUACAAUAACACUAACUGGACCAAAAUGCUAUGCUCUGGACCCAUCACCUUCUCACUUUUAUUCCACUCACGCUACACAAUCUGUCAGUUUUGCAAAAAAGUCUUCCUUCCAUGAAUUCAUAUUCUUUUGUCACAAAAUCCAAUAAGAAAUUAUUUCCAUUGGUGAGAAUAAUACAUGUUUUUAAUCCAUGUAUUUUGUUGUAAUACAUGUAUUUUAAUUCACUUACUUCAACAAAUACAUUAUUUUGUUCUUUUUUUUGGUGAGAUAAAUGUUAAUGUCACUAGAUUUGUCAUUUUUAUGUUUUUAAUGUGUUUUCUUGGAUUACGCAUUCAAUGGAGGUCAAUCAAUUCUUGAUCUUUUGGUUAUUUGAUCCGUGAAUACUGGUAUAGUUUGGGUGGGUUUCUACAUGCCCUGUACCUGUUUGUAAAAUUGUCUGCUUGAAUAGCUUUCAGUUUCAUAGUUAUUCGUACAUUAGGAUUUCAAGUUUCAACCAUCAAUUUCGUUUGUUUAUGCUUAUUUAUAUCUAUACAUCAUUGUGUUUACGGAUGUAUGAUGCAUGUCUAGGCCCUUUUAAUAAGAUCAAUUGAUGUUUAAUGCAUUUGAAGAUUUUGAUGCCGUAAUCUAGUUUGGUGAAUACUUACGUUUGGUUGUCAUAUUGUUAUGUAGACAAAGAUGCCACGUUUGCCUAUUGAAAACAGAAGACGCAAAAAAUAUCGAGGGCAAAGCCAGAUUUUAUCAGGAAUGAUAAUGGUUGUUAUUGCACUGUUUAUGAUGUGGUACCAGUUAAUAUUCAUUCAUCUCAAAAGUAGAAGACGCCAAAUAAAAUCAAAAGAAGAAAAAGUCACUGAGCGCAUGCAACACUUAUUCAAUUUGACUAGGGAGAGUGAUGCUUAUUGUAUUAGCGAACUUCGUAUGGAUAGACGAACAUUUGGGAUAUUAUGUGAAAUGAUUAGAGACACUGGAGGUUUGAAAGCUACAAGAAACAUGUCAAUAGAAGAAAUUGUUGCCAUGUUUGUAUAUGUUUUGGCUCACCACAAGAAAAGUAGAACAAUUUGUGGUCUAUUUUGGAGAAGUAGAGAAACGGUGAGUCGUCAAUUUAAUCUUUGCCUCCUAGCAGUUUUGAAAUUGCAUACUAUAUUACUUAAGAAGCCUGAGCCUAUUACCGAAGAUUGCACAGAUGAGAGAUGGAAAUGUUUUAAGGUAAUUCAAACAUUAAAAUACAAUCAUUUAAUAAAAUGUAUGUUUUCAUCUAAACUAUCCAAUAUAGACAUUUUAACUCAUUUAUAUUUUUUAUUUUUGUUAAAAUAGAAUUGUUUAGGUGCCUUAGAUGGGACAUUAAUAGAUGUGACACCACCCACCGAACAAAAAUCAAGAUACCGAACGAGAAAAGGAAGUAUUGCAACGAAUGUAUUAGGGUUUGUUCUCCUAAUAUGCAAUUUAUCUAUGUCUUGCCUGGUUGGGAAGGUUCGGCACAUGAUGGUCGUGUGCUUCGAAAUGCUAUCUCUAGACCAAAUGGUCUUAGAGUCCCACAAGGUAAACAUAAAAACGUCGUCGUGUCUUGCCUUUCCAAUUAAUCCAUGAAAAUCCGCCUUGAGCUCGAUUCUCCCGACAGUGGUUAUGGCGGCCUCGAGUGAACCCAACUCAAGAGAAGACAUCUUCGACUCCUCACUGAAUCUAGAAGAAACCCACCUCAAAGAAGGCUAUAACGAGGGCUACGCCGACGAUUUAGUCUCUGGCGAGGAGGAGGGCCGGCAAGUGGGCUUAAAAACCGGGUUCGAAGUCGGCGAAGAGUUGGGCUUUUACAGGGGUUGUAUUGAUGUAUGGAACUCCGCUAUUCGGGUCGAUUCGAAUUGCUUUUCGUCUCGGGUCGUGAGAAGCAUCAAACAAAUGGAAGAGUUGCUGAACAAGUACCCGAUUUCCAACCCGGAAGAUGAGUCGGUUAGCGAUGUUAUGGACUCUUUGAGGUUGAAGUUUCGGGCUAUUUGUGCCACCUUGAAUGUGAAGUUGGAGUAUAAUGGCUAUCCCAAAUCUUCUGAUGGUGGAAAUAUCCAAUUUUGAGGUUAAUUUUUGCCCCAUUUUUUAGAAUUUUUUGUCAAAUCUUUUGCUUUCCUUUUUUUCCCCUAUGUUUUCAUAAGUAUUGAUCUGAUGGCUUAAUUGGAUUGGCUAAUUGGGAUUCUUUUGCUUCUGUAUAUUGAUUAUGGACAUGUCUUUUGCUACAGUUGGAAACCAGAUUUUUGGAUUUUCUUGGGAUUUAAAGCUCUUUUUGGUUUUUGUGGUUGAUUAACUGGUUGGGUUCAGAAUAGUUUCUAGUUUAAAACUUUUAUUGUCUAAAUUCUGUUUGGUAAUUACAGAUUAGUUGUUAUGUUAUAGAUAUUUUAGGGAAAAUAAUCAGAAAUUUUUAAUAAAGAAAGGUACCAUUCAUGUAUGAAAAUGUACCCAGUUCUGUACAUAAUGUAAAAUAGAUAAAAAUUAUGCCCUCUUCAAUAUAUAUCUUAAAUGGCGUGCCCUUUCCAGCAAUUUUCCCUUUUUUUCCGUCAUAAUUCAUUAUAUUUGUGGGGCUGGUAGCCUCAGAUGAGCGACAAAUAGAAUGCCUUCUGCAGAGGAUUUAGCUGUAAUCUUGCGAAGAAGCUAUAUGAUUGACUAUGCUAGCAAAUAUGCAGUGGAAAGAGGGGAAAGAAGAAGACAUGAAUAUUAACUAGUGAAAAUGUAUGUGUAAUAGAUAAUCUAUUGAGGUGACAGUUAUGCCAAACUGGAAAGACUGUAAAUCCAUAUCUGAAAUUUGAGAUUUUGGUAAAUAGUACUAGGAGUAAUUUUCUAAGCAAGAGGAAUUCAGAAGUCUUUGAGAUUUAUGGAAUUGAGUGUAUCAGAAAAUUGAGAUUGUGGUGAAUAGAACUAGGAGCAAUUAUUUGAUCUGGAGAACUCAAAAUGUCUUUGAGAUUUAUAAAAUUGUCAGCAGACUUGGAGCCAUAUGUUAGCCUGGCUGUUGUGGUGCAUACUAUAAUUUUUGCAUGUCUAUAAGCUGAAAUUUCGACUCUGCUGUCAGCUGAUUCACUUUUUCUAGAUUUUAUUUGCACUUUGAGAAUUUAGGUUUCAGAUUCAUUAUGUAUAGCCAUUUAGGUAACAUGUAAAGAUGAUUACUUUCUUACGUAGAGAAAGCACAUAUACAUUUUUUUAGCUCUUUUUUUUUAAUUUUAUUUUUGGAACUGAGUAAACAUCUUUGUUUUGUGUCUAGGUUGAAGAAAAGGAACUUGGUCACUUUGUGGUGCAGGGGAAGAAGGAAAGUGUUUUUCAAGUGCGUUGGCUUGAGAUCCGAGCUGACUCUACACUUUUCUUUGUGAAAGAAAGGUUUCAUUUUCACACAUGCCUUGAGGAUGGAGGGUGGAGACAAAAGGUUGAUAAAUGACUGUAAGACUGUGAUGCAAAAGAUUGUUGGUGGAGUGCAUGCUGAUAACAGUCAUUAACUUGUCUGUGUUUUGGGCAGGUUUAUAGCAAUUGAGCCAACAAUUAAUUCUUUAAAGUAUAGCUCUAUGUCGGAGAAAUUUUUAUGCUUGUCUUAGCCCUCAUCAGCUUCUCCUGGCUUCAUGAAAGCUUAUUGUCUUGUAGUUUACAUAAAAUUUAUAUUACAAUUGGAGCUAGUGAUGCAUCAUCAAGGGCUUCCGAGGCUGUUCUUUCUGGACCCUGUACAAAGACUGAAGUGUUGGAAAGCUUCUAAAAUGCACCUAUCUUUAGCUGACAUGAUCGACAAGGCUGUUGGAUACCUGUUGUCAGAUGAAAUUUCGUGCAAUUCUUUAUAUUGUGUCUUAUUUCUUGAAUUGCAUGAAGCCUAGGAAGAUUUCACAUGCAAAAAGGAUAAUCCCCCAGUUUGAUAUUUUGGUUGAAACUUAAAAAGGGGGAUGAACAUACAAGAAACCCAUGCAGGCAUAGAUCAAGUCUUCUAGCAAUCAGGAAUGAUGCCUACUGAAUUAGACUAUUCAGCACUGCUAAAAAUGGGAUAUCUCACGAGUAGGCAGGUGAUUUGUGUGGAUAUACUUGGUUGAAUUCUCAUCCUGGCUUUGGCAAUUGCCAAGGCUGCCUGGUGAAAUUGUUGAUUAAUUUGCAACAUGAGACGUGGACAACCCUUUUUGGUUAAUAUGUAGGGAAAGCAAAUAUUGGUUUCUUUGACUUUCAUUAUUGCCAAAAGUUGCCUCCCACCCCAACUGACUGGCCAGGGGAUCGAUCCCUUGACCAGUCAGCGAGAAACUUUCAGCCAAAAGAAGGUUGCGAAAAGGCCAUUGCCUUUUCUAUCAAUGAGGUUGGGAAAAGAUGGUAUUGAAAUUUCCACAUAACAAGUUAGUGCAAUUCUUGCAUACAUUUCAGUAUAACUGAUUUUCACAAUCAAGACCUGAGGUUUACAUGGUCAUACUCCUUGACCCGAAAUUUUGACCAAUAAAGGGUUUUUUUUUUUUUAAUGUUCUGCUUCUGCCAAUAAUACUACGAGACAUUUGUACGAUUCUUCCCCUUCUUCUGAACUUUUCAAUUUGAAUAUGUAUCAUUUUGAUCCCUAAUUUUGCUGCUGAUAGACAUAAUAGUAAGGUAAAUUUGAAAUCCGUGGUUUAACUCUCAAACCAUUCUUUUUCCUCUAUCAUGGUUUGUAAUCUCUCUUUAUAAAAAAAAAAAAAAUCUCUUUUCUUGCCCAAAAUUAAAAAAAAAAAGGGAAAUCAGUCUUUAUGUUACAUAUAGAAAAUGUGUACUACUCGAGAAAACAAAAAUAAUGAUCAUAGAAAAUUCAAAAAGGGAUACAUGAAUGUAAAGUAAAACUAGUGGCUUCCCAAAGUACUGCCAAAAGGGUAAUUCAACUUUUAUCCUGCUCUAAGAAAAUAGGCAAAAAAAUAAUAAAAAGAAAAUAACUAUAGAAAUUCUAAAAUAUCUCUGUGAAAUUCUAAUUUCUUGAUUAUUGGCAAAAACUUGGCACUAUCCAAUCUAUCUAAUGUGUUGCGCGGACAUGGCUGUGCCUGAGUUUUAACUACGUGUAAUGACAUCUUUCUAUGCCACCGAGUUAAUUGCACCAUGUAGGAUUUAACACAUAAAGCAUGCAUGGGUUAAAGGGUUGUGUAUGAGGAAAUGAGAUGAUGUCCACCGGAGCAGCUGCCGUGCUUCAAAAUCCUUAUGCAUUACAAGCUGGAUAUCAGGGGGUGCAGGUGCCCCAAUUCCCCCUCCCAAUUUAUGCCAAUGAGGCCAGCCGGUGUUGGAAUGAGAAUGCAUGGCAUUUUCUUCUUCAACUGCGCUACCUGUGAUGCCAUUCCCCUUGGCUAGUCCUUGUCAAUCAACCCUAGCAGCCUCAGGAACGGGCAAGCUAUUUGUGAUGCACCUAGAAGGUCAGUUAAUUCAUCAUAUACACUUAAAUCUUAGGGGUCCCCAAUAUAACUGUUGCCAGAAAUAUGGCCCUGGUUAAUUUAUUGUGACAAUGAUAGACAUGGCCGGGGCUGGCGUUUGCCAUUUGCAGCGUAAAUUAGCAGCAUGUGCAGCAUAAACUCUGGAGUUAGGCCCUACUAACUAAAUGUAGUCUUGAAGGGUAAAUAUACAGAAGCAUAAGAGUCCCAAUUAGCCAAUUCAAUCAAGCCUCAGAUCAACACUCAGAAAAAAUAGGGAAAAAAAAAAAGAAUUUACAUAAAGAACUAUGUAAAAAAAGGCAAAAAUUAACCUCAAAAUUGGAUAUUUUCUCCAUCAGAAGAUUUGGGAUAGCCAUUAUACUCCAACUUCACAUUCAACGUGGCACAAAUAGCCCGAAACUUCAACCUCAAAGAAUCCAUAACAUCCCCAACGGACUCAUCUUCCGGCUCCGAUAUUGGGUACUUGCUCAGCAACUCUUCCAUUUGUUUGAUGCUUCUUACGACCCGAGACGAAAAGCAAUUUGAAUCGACCUGAAUAGCAGAGUUCCACACAUCAAUACAACCCUUGUAAAAGCCCAACCCUUGUAAAACGUCGUCGUGUCUUGCUUUUCCAAUUAAUCCAUGAAAAUCCGCCUUGAGCUCGAUUCUCCCGACAGUGGUUAUGGCGGCCUCGAGUGAACCCAACUCAAGAGAAGACAUCUUCGACUCCUCACUGAAUCUAGAAGAAACCCACCUCAAAGAAGGCUAUAACGAGGGCUACGCCGACGAUUUAGUCUCUGGCGAGGAGGAGGGCCGGCAAGUGGGCUUAAAAACCGGGUUCGAAGUCGGCGAAGAGUUGGGCUUUUACAGGGGUUGUAUUGAUGUAUGGAACUCCGCUAUUCGGGUCGAUUCGAAUUGCUUUUCGUCUCGGGUCGUGAGAAGCAUCAAACAAAUGGAAGAGUUGCUGAACAAGUACCCGAUUUCCAACCCGGAAGAUGAGUCGGUUAGCGAUGUUAUGGACUCUUUGAGGUUGAAGUUUCGGGCUAUUUGUGCCACCUUGAAUGUGAAGUUGGAGUAUAAUGGCUAUCCCAAAUCUUCUGAUGGUGGAAAUAUCCAAUUUUGAGGUUAAUUUUUGCCCCAUUUUUUAGAAUUUUUUGUCAAAUCUUUUGCUUUCCUUUUUUUCGCCUAUGUUUUCAUAAGUAUUGAUCUGAUGGCUUAAUUGGAUUGGCUAAUUGGGAUUCUUUUGCUUCUGUAUAUUGAUUAUGGACAUGUCUUUUUCUACAGUUGGAAACCAGAUUUUUGGAUUUUCUUGGGAUUUAAAGCUCUUUUUGGUUUUUGUGGUUGAUUAACUGGUUGGGUUCAGAAUAGUUUCUAGUUUAAAACUUUUAUUGUCUAAAUUCUGUUUGGUAACUACAGAUUAGUUGUUAUGUUAUAGAUAUUUUAGGGAAAAUAAUCAGAAAUUUUUAAUAAAGAAAGGUACCAUUCAUGUAUGAAAAUGUACCCAGUUCUGUACAUAAUGUAAUUAAAUAGAUAAAAAUUAUGCCCUCUUCAAUAUAUAUCUUAAAUGGCGUGCCCUUUCCAGCAAUUUUCCUUUUUUUUCCGUCAUAAUUCAUUAUAUUUGUGGGGCUGGUAGCCUCAGAUGAGCGACAAAUAGAAUGCCUUCUGCAGAGGAUUUAGCUGUAAUCUUGCGAAGAAGCUAUAUGAUUGACUAUGCUAGCAAAUAUGCAGUGGAAAGAGGGGAAAGAAGAAGACAUGAAUAUUAACUAGUGAAAAUGUAUGUGUAAUAGAUAAUCUAUUGAGGUGACAGUUAUGCCAAACUGGAAAGACUGUAAAUCCAUAUCUGAAAUUUGAGAUUUUGGUAAAUAGUACUAGGAGUAAUUUUCUAAGCAAGAGGAAUUCAGAAGUCUUUGAGAUUUAUGGAAUUGAGUGUAUCAGAAAAUUGAGAUUGUGGUGAAUAGAACUAGGAGCAAUUAUUUGAUCUGGAGAACUCAAAAUGUCUUUGAGAUUUAUAAAAUUGUCAGCAGACUUGGAGCCAUAUGUUAGCCUGGCUGUUGUGGUGCAUACUAUAAUUUUUGCAUGUCUAUAAGCUGAAAUUUCGACUCUGCUGUCAGCUGAUUCACUUUUUCUAGAUUUUAUUUGCACUUUGAGAAUUUAGGUUUCAGAUUCAUUAUGUAUAGCCAUUUAGGUAACAUGUAAAGAUGAUUACUUUCUUACGUAGAGAAAGCACAUAUACAUUUUUUUAGCUCUUUUUUUUUAAUUUUAUUUUUGGAACUGAGUAAACAUCUUUGUUUUGUGUCUAGGUUGAAGAAAAGGAACUUGGUCACUUUGUGGUGCAGGGGAAGAAGGAAAGUGUUUUUCAAGUGCGUUGGCUUGAGAUCCGAGCUGACUCUACACUUUUCUUUGUGAAAGAAAGGUUUCAUUUUCACACAUGCCUUGAGGAUGGAGGGUGGAGACAAAAGGUUGAUAAAUGACUGUAAGACUGUGAUGCAAAAGAUUGUUGGUGGAGUGCAUGCUGAUAACAGUCAUUAACUUGUCUGUGUUUUGGGCAGGUUUAUAGCAAUUGAGCCAACAAUUAAUUCUUUAAAGUAUAGCUCUAUGUCGGAGAAAUUUUUAUGCUUGUCUUAGCCCUCAUCAGCUUCUCCUGGCUUCAUGAAAGCUUAUUGUCUUGUAGUUUACAUAAAAUUUAUAUUACAAUUGGAGCUAGUGAUGCAUCAUCAAGGGCUUCCGAGACUGUUCUUUCUGGACCCUGUACAAAGACUGAAGUGUUGGAAAGCUUCUAAAAUGCACCUAUCUUUAGCUGACAUGAUCGACAAGGCUGUUGGAUACCUGUUGUUAGGGGUGUGCAAAGUCGAAAAAUUUCGAUUUCGAAAUCGAUUUCGAAUUGAAUUCGGAAGUUCGAAUUCGGAAGUUCGGUAAUUCGGUAGUGAAUUCGGUAUUUCCGAUUUCGAAUAUGUCGAAUUCGGGUCGAAUUCGAAACUAUAAUUUUUGAAAACGGAAUAUCGAAUUCGCACAAUACAUAUAUAAUAUAUAUUAUAAUAUUAUAUAACAUAAAAUAAGUUAAUAAUUGAAAUUAAAAUUGAAAGCCAAAAACCCUAAUCUCUUCAGUUUUCACUUACUCACUAGUCACCUUAGCUCUUCCGCCGCCCUCUUCGGCUCUUCCUCAUCGCCUCUCCGUCACCUUCGUCACCUUCCUCAUCGCCUCAGCCUCUUCAUCACCUUCCUCUUCGUCACCUUCCUCUUCGUCACUGGCAAAGAUUUGGCUUCUCGAAGUAGAGAGUUUGCUCAAGGGAGUGAAGGGACUACUAUAUAAUACUAUCCCUGUCAUCAAGGUCUCCAGCAGGAUCAGAUCCAUGCCCUCAACGAGAUGGAAGGUUCAAGUGAGUACUAGAAGCAAAUCAUAGCAAUUUGGCAAAGAAGUGGUCAGGGAGUUAGCAUCGCUCGCAUCAUCCUUUUCAAAGACUUUGUGCAAUUGUGAAAUUUUGCCUCAUCAGACCACCUUCUGCUGCAACGAAAACUACUUAAUUACACAUACAUUGUCUUGAAAGGUACGUGUGUGCGUGUGUGUGUUUUCCUUGUUAAAAUUUUAUAAGAUGAUGGUGUUAUAUGGGUCACUGGUUCUCUUGUAUUUUUUGCUUUUUGUGUUUAAAGUUAUUGCUGUAAAUGUGGAAGGACAAAAUCCAGAUGCAUUUUGACAGGUAUAAAAGCAGAUUGGCUGCUGGCUACAGUAGCUCCUUAUUAAGGUUCGAGCUUUGCCUAGCAUACAAGGGACUUGAUUUUGGAUUGUGAUUAGCAAGUAACUUUGCUCCCGUAUGUGGAAUGCAUUUCUUUUUUUUUUGUUGGGUCCUUGUUUCUGGAUUGUGUUUCAUGGAAUGGGAUAAUUGCACGAGUACAAGAGAAUGUGUUUCCAACUGUGUGUUGAUCAUAUUACUUCUAUAUAUAUAUAUAUAUAUCAAUCCAACAUGUCAUAAAUGAAGAGAAAAAAAAAUAUCGUGCAGAUUUGGCAAUAGAAAUGUCAAUUUUCAAAGACAAAACUUGAAGAAACGUGACCAUGAAGAAUGAGAUACUUGUUCUGGAAAGAAAUGCUAUAGCAAGCCAAGAAAUUGAUUGUAGAAUAGCUGCAAAGGUAAACAUUUAGUCAGCACACAGAAGACAGAUGUUUAAGUCCAGAAAACAGACAUCAACAAAUAAUGUCUUUCUUAGAAGACUCCUACUUUCUUAUUUCAAGACAUUGAAAUGCAAUAGUAAAAGGGAAAAGGACUCAGUUAAACCUAGAUUCUGGAAAAUUGUUCUUACUGUCAAUAAUCACUUUUAAGGUUCCAAUACUAAAGCUGUGGAUUUGUCAAUGGAUUAAAUUUCAGUUCCAUUCAAGCAUUUAGACAGAAAUGAGGGCAAUAAAAACUUUAAACUAAUUAGGCAAAGAAGAAUAAGGGCCUCCAACUCCUCAUUCCUGUCUUCUUAAGCAAUGAAAUAUUAUACAUAUACAUAUAUAUAUAUAUAUAUAUAUAUAUAUAUAUCCUAUCUUGGCAGAGAAACUAACUAAUGAUGCCAAAGGUUCGACAACAUUUGCUACUUCCCUUUUUGCCCUUUUCUUUCCUCACAUCAGUCACCUCCUAUCUGCAGGCAAUGCGCCUGAUAUCACACUUAUUUGAUAUGGUUUGAGAAGAUGAGUGGACACUACGUAUUGAAAAACAGCAAGGAAGACAAAUAUCGUGCAGUUUUGUCAUGCUAUUCAUCUUGGAUCUGCAACUGGUAGAAAUUGAGAUGCAUGAUGCAUCUAUUGCAUAGGUUGAGCAAAAGGGAAGCUUGAAUCUGAUUUGAGGAACCAAAAAAGAACAAAAGAUCCAAUUUUGAACUAAAUGAGAUAAUUUCAUGUCGAAAUGCUGUUGUUUAAGUUCAUUGCAGACCAAGUCAGUAGCUAGAGUUGGAGUAAUUUUAUUAACAUAACUUAUAAAAUCAAUUCUGUGUAGACUUUUGUGGCAAGGCGGGGAGGGGAUUAGGUUCUUAUUCAUGCAGGACAGAAGCAGUAAUAUUAAAUGCCUUAUUAUUGUUUCUUUUCAUGUAAAUUUCUUUCUAUAGAAUAUUUGAAUUCUCAGUAUGUAAUGGCUUGGGUGAAUUUUGUGAUUGAUGAUUGGAUUUUUUUUUCUUGCAAUUGACUAAAUGGUUGGACUUAAAACUAGUGGUUUGAUUUUUUAACAAGCAGACCUGCAGUUUUAUUGUUAUUUUUUAACAAGCAGACCUGCAGGUAUGCUUUCGAAUUUAUAUCCCUCUUGUGUUCAGAUGAAUCUGAAGUCUCUGAUAUAAUAUUUGUGUCUUUAUUUCGAAGAUCAUGGAAAAAAUUUACUAUGAGAAACAAGUAACAGUUCCACGAUGUGACAUCAUUAGAAACAAACCAAAUGAAUUACCUUGUGGGGGUCUAUCAAAGCUCUAGUAUUGUGUUUCUAUGUACACAGGAGGUGCUGUGGUACUUGUGGUCUUUACCUAAUUUUUAAUAAUCUAAACUUGUGUCCAACAUCUAAACUUAAUUAUUCAAUAUAAUUGCUCUUAGCUUAAUCUCCUAUCAAUUUCUUUUGCAAUAUUCCAGUCUAAACUAAACAAUGCUCUUACUCAAGUGCUUGAGUGUGUCAAUUUUAUUUUGUUAUGAGCGUGAAAAUAGUUUGGAAAACCUGUUGAAAAGAUGUGUAAAAUGGGUUUUGGAUGAGUAGUUCUUACUUUAGUAUAUUAAUUUUUGGCUUUUGGAGAAUGAUGUGUAGUCUAACAAUAACUUUCUGUGCUAAAUUGGAAACAAGUUCUCCAGGAAACUGCAUUAUGUGAUUCAAACUCUCAAUAUUUCUUCAUUUUAUUGUCUAAUCUAUUGCAUAUAUUGGGAAACAUAUCUUCAUUUUAUUUUCAUUUUCUUUUGCAUGUCAGUAAACAUGUCCACUUUUGAGAUGGAAGGUUCAAGUGAUUCAACACCAUCUUCAAGUCCAGCUCAUAUUUCCAACAGCUGUGAAGAAUCUGGUCUUGGUAUUAAGAAGAAGAGAGGCGAGUACAACAAAAGGUCACCAGCUUGGGAUCAUUUUCAGCCUCACUAUGUCCAAGGUGUUCGUCAUGGCAUAUGUAAUUACUGUACGAAAAUGAUAGCUGCUGAUCCGAAGUCUAAUGGUACUAGUCCUCUCUUAUCCCAUGUUAAAUCAUGUGAAACGAAUCCUGCAAAUAAGUCUAAGGGGCAAGGUACAUUAUACUUGGGUGAGGUUGGUGGUCUUGGGGGGGAUGUUAAGAGUGCACUUAUUAGUUGGAAGUAUGACCCUGAUGCAAUUAGAAAAAGCAUUGCUUAUAUGUUGAUUGUUGAUGAAUUGCCAUUCAAACAUGUAGAAGGUAAAGGAUUUCAGCAUGUCAUGAGAACUGCUUGUCCUUCUUUUCAAAUUCCUUCAAGGUGGACAAUUACUAGAGAUUGCUAUCAACUUUAUUUAGAUGAAAAAAUUAAGUUGAAGAAUAUGUUAAGGCGUAGAGCUGUUAGAGUUUGUCUCACCACUGAUUGUUGGACAUCUAUCCAGCGAAUAAAUUAUAUGUGUUUGACAGCACACUUUAUUGACUGUGAUUGGCAAUUGAACAAAAGAAUUUUAAAUUUUUGUCCAAUUAGUAGUCAUAAAGGGACUGAAAUUGGGAAGAGUAUUGAGAAAUGCUUAUUAGAGUGGGGGAUUGAUGAUGUUUUCACAGUAACAGUUGACAAUGCUGCUUCAAAUGACACGGCUGUGCAAUAUUUGGUUGGAAAAUUGCAAAAUUGGGGUAAAUCUAUAUUAGGGGGAAAGUGGAUUCAUAUAAGAUGUGUAGCUCACAUAAUCAAUUUGAUUGUGAGUGAUAGCCUAAAAAAAUUUGGGGGAUCCGUUGAUUCUAUCCGAACAGCUGUGAGAUAUAUUAGACAAUCACCUUCUCGUUUGAAAAAAUUCAAGGAAUGUGCUGAAAUUGAAAAAAUUGACAGUAAAAGGUUACUAAGUUUAGAUGUGGCAACUAGGUGGAAUUCAACCUACUUAAUGUUAGACAGUGCUCAUAGGUUUGAGAGGGCAUUUGAGAGGUUUGAGGAGCAAGAUCCAUAUAUGCUACAUGAGCUAGAGCACUUGCCAACAAAAGAUGAUUGGGAAAAGGCAAGAUUCUUAACUUUAUUUUUGGAGAACUUUUAUGAUCUCACAGUAAAGGUUUCUGGUUCCAAAUAUGUGACAUCUAAUAAUCUUAUCAAUGAGCUUAGUCACAUUAAUGGCAUCCUAAAGGAAAUGGCAGAAAGUGCUAAUUCCGACUUGUGUGCAAUGGCAAAAAUAAUGAAAGAGAAGUAUGAUAAGUAUUGGGGAAGAUUGGAGAAAAUGAACAUGUUGAUUUUCAUUGCUUACAUGCUUGAUCCUAGGACAAAGUUUGAGUACUUUGAAUUCGUUGCUUGUAAAAUGUAUGGUGAUACCGAAGGUGCUGUUGUGGCUCAUGUAGCCAAGGAUGCAAUGUAUGAAUUGUUUAAUGAUUACAAGAGACUCAAUACUCCUGCUGGAUCUUCUCAAUCCUCUAUUUCUUCACUUUCUAGUGGAUCUGAAAAUAGCAUCUCUUCCUUUGAUGGAGAAGUCUCCAAAAAAAUAAAUGAUAGAUACAGAAUUGAGUUCAAGAAAAGAAAAGUUGAACUUGGAGGAAAGAAUGCUAAAUCUGAACUUGACAAAUAUUUGAGUGAGGAUUGUGAGGAUGAGGAUCCCGAGUUCGAUAUCUUGAAUUGGUGGAAAGGUAAUAGUUUUCGGUUGCCAAUACUUUCGCAAAUGGCUCGUGAUGUGUUGGCUGUGCCGGUCUCUACGGUUGCUUCCGAAUAUGCCUUUAGUACCGGAGGACGUGUUCUUGAUCCAUUCAGAAGCUCUUUAACUCCAAGGAUUGUGCAAGCAUUGAUUUGUGCUCAAGACUGGUUUCGGGCAUCCGAAAAUGAGUUGAAUGUAGAAGAAAAAUUGGAGGAUCUUGAGGAAUUUGAAUCUGGUAAAUUAUCUUCUUUUUUAUUGACAAACUUGAAAUAUUUUUUCUAUUCAUAAAUGCAAUUAAGCUACUUCAUUAUUUUUUUUCUUUCUUGAAUAAUAGGUUUGAUCAAAGGAGGUGCAGAAGCCACAAUUGUUGAUGUUUGAAUUCUCUAAUGGUGAUUCUGAUUUGGUGCUCAAUGGAUUCUUAUUUCUUGGAAUUGUUUUGUAUUUGAAAUUUGGACUGGUUUGGACUGUAAUUGCUGGAAUUGUUUGGACUGGUUUGGACUGUAAUUGCUGGAAUUGUUUGGACUGGUUUGGACUGUAAUUGUUUGGACUGGAAUUUACAUAGUGAUUCUGAUUUGGACUGUAAUUGUUUUGUAUUAUUUCCUGGAAUUGUUUUGUAUUUCCUGCAUUUACUUUGAACAGGUUUCUGUUUUUGAACAGGUUUCUGCAUGUAUCCCGACUGUUUUUGAACAGGUUUCUGCAUGUAUCCCGACUGUUUUUGAACAGGUUUCUUGAAAGAAAUGAGAGGGCAAAAAAAAAAAAAAUUCGGUGAAUUCGGAAUUCACCGAAUUCCGAAUUCAAUUCGGUAGCGAAUUUGAAUUCGGUAGUUGCCAUUUCGAAUUCGAAUUCGGUCGGUGAAAUUGAAGCCAAAUUUCCGAAAAAUUCCGAAUUCAACUUCCGAAUUACCGAAUUCGAAUUCGAUGCACACCCCUACCUGUUGUCAGAUGAAAUUUCGUGCAAUUCUUUAUAUUGUGUCUUAUUUCUUGAAUUGCAUGAAGCCUAGGCAGAUUUCACAUGCAAAAAGGAUAAUCCCCCAGUUUGAUAUUUUGGUUGAAACUUAAAAAGGGGGAUGAACAUAUAAGAAACCCAUGCAGGCAUAGAUCAAGUCUUCUAGCAAUCAGGAAUGAUGCCUACUGAAUUAGACUAUUCAGCACUGCUAAAAAUGGGAUAUCUCACGAGUAGGCAGGUGAUUUGUGUGGAUAUACUUGGUUGAAUUCUCAUCCUGGCUUUGGCAAUUGCCAAGGCUGCCUGGUGAAAUUGUUGAUUAAUUUGCAACAUGAGACGUGGACAACCCUUUUUGGUUAAUAUGUAGGGAAAGCAAAUAUUGGUUUCUUUGACUUUCUUUAUUCCUUAGUCACAAUUAUAGAUGACAAAUCAACCCAUUUAAUUAAAUUUACCCAUACCCGCCCAUGAAUAGUUGGGUAUAGGUAUGUUAAGUUUUUGCAUAUGGGUAUAAAUGGGUUAUCCAAUAAUACUCAUUUUAAAUGGGUAUUAUUGGAUAACCCAUCAAACCCAAUUAACCUAUUUAAAAUUGUUUUUCCUCAAAUCUCCUCUCUUCCCCCUUCCAUUUUUUUUUUCAGAUUUUUCAUUUUGUUAUAAUGUUAACUACUUUUGUUUCAUUAUUAUUGUUAUUUGUUGGUUUUAUUUUAUCAUUUUAUUUUCUCUUAAUUUGUUAACUUACUCAUUUUUUAGCAUUACCAAUUUAUGAUAAGUUUUAGCCUCUUUUCCUACAUUUUCAAAAUGAAAUUUUAAAUUUAUACAUGAAAAAAAUAUUAGGGGUUCAAAAUUUUUGGAUUAAGUUUUUAUGUUAAUUUUUAUAGUACUUAAUUUAAAAUUUUAUAUUUUUAUUAUUCAAUUAUUAAAUAUAUGUAAUUUUGCGACAUAGAAUACGGAUAGGAAAAAAAUUGAUAAUUAGGCUUAUUGAACAUUAUAGGUAAAUAUUUAAAACUAAUGAUGGGUGCAAAGAGUGGUAUAAAUUGAUAACUUAGGUUGCAAAAAUGAAUAUAAAUGAGUUUACAAAAAGUUAAAAUAAAUAGGUUAUAAAUGGAUAAUUGGGUUAUCCAAUUUAUUUUUUGACUUAUCCAUUUAUACCCAUAUAAUUAAAUAUGUAUAAAUGACUUGACUCACUUAUACCCAUUAUCCAUUUUACCCAACUCAAACCCGCCCAAGUCACCCAUUUUGACACCUCUAAUCACAAUGAUAGGUUUCCCUUGCCAAAAGUUGCCUUCCACCCCGACUGACUGGCCAGGGGAUCGAUCCCUUGACCGGUCAGCGAGAAACUUUCAGCCAAAGGAAGGUUGCGAAAAGGCCAUUGCCUUUUCUAUCAAUGAGGUUGGGAAAAGAUAGUAUUGAAAUUUCCACAUAUUAUCCAUGUAUGUAAUACAUACAUCCAUAUAUAUAUAUAUAUAUAUAUAUAUUGUAAUACUUGAUUAGUACAAUUGAUUGAUAAGAUGAUGGACAAAAUAUAAAAAUUUUAAUACUAUUAAUACAGUGUAUCUAUGAACAAAGAGAAGAAUUUGAACUAUAAUAAUAACAAGUUAGUGCAAUUCUUGCAUACAUUUCAGUAUAACUGAUUUUCACAAUCAAGACCCGAGGUUUACAUGGUCAUACUUCUUGACCCGAAAUUUUGACCAAUAAAGGGUUUUUUUUUUUUUAAUGUUCUGCUUCUGCCAAUAAUACUACGAGACAUUUGUACGAUUCUUCCCCUUCUUCUGAACUUUUCAAUUUGAAUAUGUAUCAUUUUGAUCCCUAAUUUUGCUGCUGAUAGACAUAAUAGUAAGGUAAAUUUGAAAUCCGUGGUUUAACUCUCAAACCAUUCUUUUUCCUCUAUCAUGGUUUGUAAUCUCUCUUUAUAAAAAAAAAAAAAAUCUCUUUUCUUGCCCAAAAUUAAAAAAAAAAAGGGAAAUCAGUCUUUAUGUUACAUAUAGAAAAUGUGUACUACUCGAGAAAACAAAAAUAAUGAUCAUAGAAAAUUCAAAAAGGGAUACAUGAAUGUAAAGUAAAACUAGUGGCUUCCCAAAGUACUGCCAAAAGGGUAAUUCAACUUUUAUCCUGCUCUAAGAAAAUAGGCAAAAAAAUAAUAAAAAGAAAAUAACUAUAGAAAUUCUAAAAUAUCUCUGUGAAAUUCUAAUUUCUUGAUUAUUGGCAAAAACUUGGCACUAUCCAAUCUAUCUAAUGUGUUGUGCGGACAUGGCUGUGCCUGAGUUUUAACUACGUGUAAUGACAUCUUUCUAUGCCACCGAGUUAAUUGCACCAUGUAGGAUUUAAUACAUAAAGCAUGCAUGGGUUAAAGGGCUGUGUAUGAGGAAAUGAGAUGAUGUCCACCGGAGCAGGUGCCGUGCUUCAAAAUCCUUAUGCAUUACAAGCUGGAUAUCAGGGGGUGCAGGUGCCCCAAUUCCCCCUCCCAAUUUAUGCCAAUGAGGCCAGCCGGUGUUGGAAUGGGAAUGCAUGGCAUUUCUUCUUCAACUGCGCUACCUGUGAUGCCAUUCCCCUUGGCUAGUCCUUGUCAAUCAACCCUAGCAGCCUCAGGAUUGGGCAUGGUUGGUCCAAUGCCUCAGAUGCACUUGCCACUGAAUCCUUUCCAACCAUUGCCCUCAGCAGAUUCUGGUUCCACUUUGAUGGCUGCACAAACAUCUUGUACAAGCUUAUCUUCAACCUUAGUUUGUACAACUCAAGCAGAAACUAGUUCACUGAGUGUGCCAAGAGCGGCUCAAGUGCCUCAGACGGAUCAGGUUCUUUCUUUUCUACUUCUCUGUUGGACCUCCAGAUCAUUCAUUCAUAUUACAUGCUCCAAUCUAUGAAAAUUAUGCUCAGUUAAUGCAGAUUUGUAAGUUUCUUCCAUUGCACCUAUCUAUUGGAGUUCAUAUAAGUGGAUAUGUUUGUCAUGUCCUGCAUAUCUUGAAUUUACAACAUUUUAGCUUCAGUUCAUUUAGGCUCUUAUCAGAAUGACCAUUUGUUAAACUGCAUAUUUUGCAUGUGCAAGAGGUUACUGUAUUGAAGAUAUUUAUCUGUAGCUGUGAAAGACAAAAGUUUCAAGCGUUAUGUGACUAUGCAAAUCUUAGGGGCCGAUCGCAAGUGGUUCAACUUCAAUAGUUCUGCCAAGUCAAAUUAUAACUCCUGCUUCCUCAUCAAGUACCAGUCCAGUAGAUGAGGUUCCAUUGCAUCCCGGAGGAAAGCAUCGAUAGUGGCUCUAGCCAGAGGUAGGUUCUUUCUCAUGUCUGAUGUAUAUCAGAUAUUUACUAUAUGGUUUGUUAGAUGAAUUAGUUGAGUGGUAAAUUGCUUUGACACACCAGGAUUUGAGUUGAGGCCAAAGAUGGUAGCGAGAGUUGUUUACAGUUUCAGGAGCAACAGGGAGUUCAUUCUUUUCAGCCUUACCGUUUCACCCAUUCUUGGUCUACAACAACACUGUUGCAGAUCAUGGCUAAGGUCUUGCAAGAAAUGAAGUAAUAGAACAGUUAUUACCUCAUCUUGGUUUAUUACUGCAGUUGAAUCACAUAAUCUGUGGUGCAAAAGCACUUGGUUUCUCAACUUUUCUGUACAUUCGCGAUUCUCUUAAUUUGUUCUUGUCUAUGGUUUCUCCUUAGUUCAGCAGUGAGCAAGUACUGAAGCAUUUGGAUUCAAACGGAAAACCUUUUGAGAAAAUUGCCUCUGAAUUGUAUGCCUGAUUCAUCAUGCCUUUCCAUUUUUUCUGUUUCCCUUCUUAUCUUCCUUUUCCUCAACUUUUCUGGACUAAUGCACUGGAACGAUCUGGUUGCAGGACUGAAUACAGCAGAUGUUCGUUCAACAAACCCUGCGUUUCCUGCAAAAGCCUAAUCAGAUUCUUCAAGGAUUAGAACAAUGAAGUCACAAAUCUAACCUCCAGGAACAGCCUCCUUGCUAAUUAAAAGAUAAAUUCUCAUUGAAUUACCCGCAAGAAUAUGCAAGGUACGAUUACUUAACCAGCUAUAGUGGUCAUGAACUCUUUAAGAUUCCUAAACCAUCCUCUCUCGGUAUGCCAAAGCACAUCAAGUCUUAUCCGGCACUUAAAUGUUUGCAUCAGGAAACUCCCCAGGUCAAUCUUAUUGAACAAAGUUUUGGAGGGUAAUUCCCUUCAGCUCUUUGACAUUGACAUUUCAGCACAAAAGCUUUCAGAAAAAAACAACAGGCCAUCAUGCCCGAAGAGUCACCUUGGAAGAAAUUUUUUACCCACUGUGGAUCAAGACUUGAAGCUUAAUGGCAAACUGACUAAUUAUCUCAUUUUCUGCUCACUCGGUAUUGCAAUAAAAGUAAACUACCUCCUCUUAUUUGUAUGAUAACCCUGCAAGAAGCCGCUCAAAAUUUGUCAGGCGCUGUAUCCGCCACAGAAAAUCCUAGUCAGGAUAUUUCUGUUUCACCAGUUUACUAUGAUGAUUUUAUUUGGUGCUGUCUAAUUGUAGAGGUGAAUAUUCGACUAGCACUGCCUAUGAUGUCUACUCUUUGAUCUGCGCCAGAAUAUCAGUUGUGGCAGGAGGGAACUUCCCAAUCCUCAGAACCCAAAACGGGUUCUAUCCAUGGACUUGCAAACAUGAAAGAAAAACAAGAAGCUCCGAGAAGUUCAAAGGGAACUUUAGAAUAGCUCCAGUUGCAGCAAAUGUAACCGUAAGAGAGUGAUUCACCUUUUAUGAAUUGUCUAUAAUUCAACACUUAAUGGAGGGAUAGGAUCUAAGAUAACAAUUUAUAAGGAUAAAAAAAAUCUAAGAGUAAUAUUAAUGUGGCAAGAAAUAAAGGAAAGCUGGUAUCGCUCCUACGUCCAUUCCGAGAAUAUCAGAACUUUGUUACUGUUGCUUCAUGCAACAGGUAAAAGGUCCAUUUGACGGCUUCAAGCUAUCUCUCAAAGUCUAAAUUACAGCAACCCAUAUUUCAAAAUAUUCCAUCAUUUUUCAACAAAGUGCUCUUUCCCCUAAUCUGUAGAACACAGAUUUGAUCAUAUUUAUUGACCUUACACUAAGCUGCAGAAGCGGUAGGUACAAAAUUCAACACAUUCUGCAGGCAUUAGCACUUCUGACAAUUCCAAAGGUUUAUCAGCGUAAUUAACGCUCUACUAAAAUUCAAUAGAGACAGAGAUCAAGAACUUUGGUGGAGAUACAUUUCUCCAUUAUUGAAGAAUAGUACAUAAUCACUCAACAAGAAUUAACACAGCUACAUUUAUGGAAGGGACUGGAUUUGGUUAUAUUGAUGAGAUGACAAGGUCUAUGAAAAUGGAAAAGAGUAUGACUUCUACAAAAUGAAGCACUGCAGGCUUAUAACCACCUUUUCCCUGUGAAGUAUAUGGAAUUUUGACAGUUACAAUUCCAGCAUAUGCCUCAACAAUCAUAGAUCCUUCACAGGAGUUGCUAGCAUCUCCCACUAAAAGUGUCAGAGCACAGGUCUUGCCAAUAAUAGUUCUAGCUACUUGUGCAAUGGCACUUUCUUUUCCUGCCACAAGUUCCGCAACCCUGCUGUUAUGAGGAGUACUGAGAGAUGAGCCGCAUCGAUGUAUUUUACAGCUUUGAGGGAUUCAAUCAUCCAAGCAGGUGGAGAAGAGCGACCAUCCUCAAUGUGUUUGGUGGUAUGACCUCCCCUGUGCUGGGAAACAUGUAUGGACCUCUUCAAAAUCCCCAUCUUCGACAAGUUGUCUGCUAGCAAUAGAGAAUUAUGCAAUGAAUCAGUAACCGAUAGUCAAAAAGCACAUAGGCUAUACUGCAAAUGAAACCAUUAAUUUCUUGCAAUGUACAUUUAUCACUUUGUAGUCCCAGAUGAUAAUACUACUUUUUUUUUCCUUUUAGAUCAUAAUACUUCAAAACUUGUAUAUCAACAGAUUGAAUGACAAUUGAAGGCAAGGGGGCAUAGUUGAUUCAAUCCAUUGAAUAUGCAAUUUCUGCACUCAACGAUUCAAAUCAGUGAAGGGGCAAGCUAAUUGUGAUGCACCUAGAAGGUCAGUUAAUUCAUCAUAUACACUUAAAUCUUAGGGGACCCCAAUCUAACUGUUGCCAGAAAUAUGGCCCUGGUUAAUUUACUGUGACAAUGAUAGACAUGGCCAGGGCUGGCGUCUGCCAUUUGCAGCAUAAAUUAGCAGAAUGUGCAGCAUAAACUCUGGAGUUAGGCCCUACUAACUAAAUUUAGUUUUGAAGGGUAAAGGCUAGAAAUACAAGAGAGAUAUUUACAUAUCACAUGCUAAUUUACAUCAAAGAGAGAUAUUUGUUGAACUAGACUGCGCUCUAUGAUGUUGUACUUAAUUCCCAAUUUAAUGUUUCUUUCACCAACUCUCUUAUUUAUGGGCAAAGACAUGCACAUAAUAAAAAUACAGAAGCAUAAGAGUCCCAAUUAGCCAAUUCAAUCAAGCCUCAGAUCAACACUCAGAAAAGAUAGGGAAAAAAAAAAGAAUUUACAUAAAGAGCUAUGUAAAAAAAAGGCAAAAAUUAACCUCAAAAUUGGAUAUUUUCUCCGUCAGAAGAUUUGGGAUAGCCAUUAUACUCCAACUUCACAUUCAACGUGGCACAAAUAGCCCGAAACUUCAACCUCAAAGAAUCCAUAACAUCCCCAACCGACUCAUCUUCUGGGUCGGAUAUUGGAUACUUGCUCAGUAACUCUUCCAUUUGCUUGAUCCUUCUUACGACCCGAGAUGAAAAGCAAUUUGAAUCGACCUGAAUAGCAGAAUUCCACACAUCAAUACAACCCUUGUAAAAGCCCAAUUCUUCGCCGAUUUCGAACCCGGUUUUUAAGCCUACUUGCCGGCCGUCUUCCUCCCCGGAGACUAAACCGUCGGCGUAGCCCUCGUUGUAGCCUUCUUUGACGUGGGUUUCUUCUAGAUUCAGCGACGAGUCAAAAAUACCUUCUAUUGAGUUGGGCUCAACCGAGACUGCCAUUGUUGUCGGAAGAAUGGAGCUCAAGACUGAUUUUCGUGGAUUAAUUGGAAAGACAAGAUAAGAGCCGACCUCCCCUGAGGUUUUGCCUAAUAUCAUUUAGCAUGCACAAGCUGAAGCCAAUCAGCUACCAUACAAAGUUACAGACAAGUAAGCUAAUAUAGUCUAUCAAGCCUUAUCCAAGGCAGGUUUAUUAACUAAUGUUCUAGGCUAAUAGGCCUUGUCAUCAACCUCCGCAGGUAGUCCGAUUGAUUCCAUAACCUAAUAAUUACCAGCAGAUCCUGCGAUCGAUUUUCGUGUACUAUCUUCUUGUGUAUCUUGGAACAAGACUUUACACAAUUUUCAGAGAUUAGUCACGAAAGGCUAAAAUAUCCUAUAUUAAAAACAAAAAAAAAAAUAGGCCUUGUCAUCAUAUGAAGAGAAUAGAUUCUAUACUAGUUGUACCAGUGCAUGCCAACAAAGUGGAGACAACAAUGAAUCUAAACACAAUUCAUUGAUUUCAAACACUGAAAUGCCAAAGUCAAAAGUUUUUUGGGGUUUUUUUUUGGAGGGGGGGGGGGGUGGUGGUUAUAACAGAGCACACACAAUCACAGAAAAUAUUCAUUUAACAAACCCUAGACCCAGAAAACAAGGGAAAGAAAGGAAGAUAAAUUUACAAAAGUACAAAAAUAUGGGAAAAGCUCAGUAAAUAUUUUCCAAGUAAACAACAAAAAAGCCGUUAGUUUUUUUAGAUUAGAUCACCGAAAAUUCUAGAAGAAAUCCAAAAAUACUAACUGCAGUCAAGUGAAGAGUAAAAACUCGGAUCUCAGUAAAAUUAGUUAAAUCACUCAGAUCUCAGUAAAAAUCAUACAAAAACCAAAACAUAGAAAUCACGCUGCUCCACAAAAAAAUCUCAAAAACCACUAAAAUCCCUAGACUCCAACCCACUCAAACCACAACAAAAACCGAGUAAAUUCAACGAUUUUUUUACCUCAAUACCGCUAAUAAAAACCUACCUUUUCCCUCUCCUCUUCUUCCUACUUCACCACUGCCUUCUCUGCCUGCCAAUAGUGGAGCAGAAAAUCUCUACCUUUUUUUUAUCUUUUCUACUCGCUCCGACUGUAAUACUACCUCCUCAUUUUUUAGAAGGAAGAAGAAGAAGAAGUAAAGAAGAAAGUGGAGCCUACGACAUUUAAUGAGUCGGGCGUUUAACUUUUAAAAAACACACACGACACCAAAGUAAGAAAAGUCCCAGCAAAAGAUGACUCACUCCCUCCUUUCCUCUUUUUAGUUUUGGGAUAAUUUCAUAUACCUCCCCUGAGGUUUUUGACAAUUUCCCCUCAAGUUUAAAAAAUUAUAUUUACCUCCCCUAAUUUGAUAAUUUUAGUAACAAAGCCUUAAAAUAAUAUUGACUUGAUCAAUUUUAAAUAAAUAUCCAAAAAUACCCUUGUGUAAUGAGUUUUAAUUUAUUUUUCUAUACAAUUAUAAGAUUAUUUAAUAUAAUUAUAAGAAAAAGAUACCAAAAAUUUCAUGUCCAUAUCUGCUAUUUGGUAAACAACCAUAAUAAUAAUUUUAUUACUAUGAUAUGAUACUUUUAAUGGUAUUUUAUUAUGGAUUUAGAUUUAUAAGAUAGAAAAGAAAAUAUUGAAAUAAUUUAUUUAGAGUUUAUGAAUUUUUGGAGUAGUGGGAUUAUCAUAAUUUAAUAGUGCUUUUGAGGCAUUUCUUUUUUAUUCAUUGUUAAUUUUAAUAUCAAAAAAUAGGAAACAAAGAUCAGCAAAAACAUUCGAUUACAAAUAAAAUUAAUUUAUCAAAAAAAUCACUAGUUCAACAUUUAAUUAUAAUAGAAAUUAGAGGUAAUAGUGGUAGUUAUGCAAUUUUAUUGGCAAAAAAAUUAAAAAAAGUAAUAAGAAGGAAAAAGAAUGAAAAGAUAAUUUUAAAACUCCGUCUAAGUAUAAGCAUACCAAAUUAGGGAAUUUUAUUAAAAUAUUUAAGGGUAAAAUUGUUAUUCUAAAUGACAAGGGAGAUAUGUGUAAUUUUUCAAAGCUCAGAAUAGCUUAGUGAAAUUGUCAGAAACCUCAGGAGAAGUUUCUAAAAUUAUCCCUUUAGUUUUUUGUAGUGUCUUCAAUUAUUUUUUUUUCUUUUAUUUGAUGAAAGAAAUAAAACUCAAGAACCAAAACCCAAAAUAAAUUGUUUUGUCACUCGGCACUUGUCUAUCUUACCCUUAAUCUUACUCCUAUUCUAGCUUAUACAAAAAGGGAGAGUUCAACUGAGUCAUGGAGGAACAGACAAGAACUGAACCACCAUCGAACCAAACGGGGGCGUAGUGCAUCCAUAUGGACUUGAGUUAUUUAAAGUGACAGCCACAUAUAAUGUCAAGUAGUGGGAGGUAAGGUUUGAACUCUUGAUCUUCCACCCUACCAAGCCUUAAAGGCUAUGGUGGUAGCCAACAGCCCAAAUAGCUGUUGGUUGGUACUCAUAAAUUUUUACCAAACUCAGAAAUAAAUUUGUUAAGACACAUGUAGAGGUUAGGUACUCAUAAACUUUUAAUGUUAAUGGCCUAGAGGUAUAGUUGAAAUUUUUUUUUUUUAAACUUCUUUACUUAUUGCAAAAUUUAUUUUGAGUAUCAAAUAUUUUUAUUGUUAUUAUUGUCUUGGGUAAACUGCUAAUUUCAUCCCUAAACAUUUUCACUAAUACCAAUUUUAUCCUUGAAUGUUUUUUUAACUUGGCAUUGGUUCCUGAACUAAAAUUUUCCUGCCAAUUAAGUACCUUCACGGCAGUGCGUCCCCAAACAUUUUUCAUAGCUAGACAAACAACCGCUUAGAGGCAUUUUAGGAAGUUCAAUUAAUACUUGUGUUGGACCAACGUCAUCAUCAUCCACCAUUGAUCACUAGAGUGUGAAGACUAGCAAAACGAUUUGAUUCCUCAACUAGCACUCUUUUUUAUACUUCUAGCAGAAGAAAUAGAAUAUGUUUUUGCUUUCAAAUCUAUUAACUUUGCAACAACAGUUGGAGGCCAUGCCCAGUUGCGACCUGGGGGAGGGGAGGGUGGCGGGGUGAGAGAGAGGAGAGGAGAGGAGAGGAGAGGAGGGGAGCGGGAGGAAAGAGGAAGAGGUAAGAUAGGGGAGAGGAGGCGAGGGAGCAGGGAUGAGGAGGAGGGACGAGGAGAGAGGGAGAAAGAGAGAGAAAAAAAAAGAAUGAGAAUGUGGAGGGUUGAGGUGGGAAAGGAAGAGGAAGAAAGGAAAGAAUUAAAAAAAAAAAUUUAGUUAUUUUGAGAUGUGUAUUUUAAAAAUUUUGAGGAGUUGGUAAAGUUAUUGAAAAACUUAUAGAAAAAAACUUAACAAAUAUUUGUUUGCCAAACAGGCUAUUAGCUUGUUUAUGCUAAACCGAUUUUGGACAAAUUUUUUAUCGAGAUUAAAAGUUAUCAAUUAUAAAAUGCUGUUCAAACUUGGGUUGAUUAGUUGGUGACUCUUAUCAAACUAAACUCAAUUUAGAGUAUCGAGUAAUUUGGUUCAUUUUUCAACUCUAGCUUUAGAUUAAGUACCUGCUGAUAUAUUUUCCCAAUAAUUGAGAUUGCCUUUCUUUAAUUGGAUUGAAUACGACUGAAGUUCUGAACUUUUUUCACAAAAUGUAGGAUUUUAUAGGGUUUACUAAAAGGCGGGGAUUUAUGUUAUCUUUGUGACAUGCUCAAUGUUUUUUUCUACCAUUAGUGCAGAUUUCAUAGAAUAAACUUUCGUCUUUUAUUAAAAAAAAAUUUCCCAAGUGCUAAACCUUGAAAAUAUGUGGUGUUUGAUUCACUAUGUCAAUCAACUUGACAUGGCUAAAAGUAGGACUGUCAAUGGGGUCGAGCUAGCUUGAGCUUGGCUCAUUUGACCCGAAAAAAAGUCCAAUGAACCCGACUUUUUAGUGAGCUAAUCUGAGGUUAAGCCUAAAAAUUAGGUCCAAAUUAAAUAUGAGUCAAGUUUGGGUCUCAUUAGGUUCAAAUCCAAUAUAGGUCCGAUCCUUUAAUUACCUAUAUAUAUAUAAUAUUUAUAUUUUGAUAUUAUGUAUAAUUAUAUAUCCAAAUAUAUUAUUACUAAAUAGUAAAUAUAUACAAAUUACAAAACACAAAAAUGCAUCUGAAAAUUAUUCUACUAGUUUUCUAGAGAGCCAAUAUUAGUAAUGCAUAACUGAAUAUUUAACUUUUCUAUUGGUUGAAUAAGUUUUUGUGUUGGCAUAACAUUGAUUAAUUUUUUUUUUAUCUAGAAACACAAAUCAUCAAGCAUGUUUGGAAUCAAAUCACAAGGUUAUAAAGAAGUUCCAAUCUUUGAAAAUGUAUUGACUUAUGACCGCAUGUUUUAUUACUACUUUUUAUGUAUUUUGAAAGAAUUAGAUAUAAAUAUUGUUGAAAAUUUUUUUAUUUAUAUACUUUUUUAAAACUAUUACUUAUUCAUAUUUAGUUUUAAUGUUAUAGUCUGAUAAAUAUUAAAUUAGUUUUACAACUUAAUAGUUAUAGUAAUUAUAUUAUGAAAAUUAAGGAGUAAUAAGUGAGUUUAGGCUAAACUUGAAUAAGGUUCACAACCCGAAUAUUAUGUGAGUUAAGAAUGAACUUCACAUUUAUUAAUCCGAAACUCAUAACUCCAAAUCCGAAGAUGUUAUAAAUUAAAUAAGCUGAACUUGAACUUAUGAAAGUCCGGCUCAUUAGGCCCUAUUGACAGGUCUAGCUAAAAGAUUAGGAAGUGUUUGAUGAGCCUAUCAAUUGUUGUACGUUAUUAGAAAUUAACACUUACAAUUUUCAUUCUACUUAUUAUGGCUAUUUUUAUACUUGACUUUAGAAUGAAUAUUGUUAAGCAGACUAAUUGUGACUUGUUACAAUUUUCAAUUGGCCAGAUGCGAAGGGACAGGAUUAGGAGAAAGAUGAAAGCUCUCCCAAGAUUUGAUCCCCAACUGCAACACUGUGAAUGCUUUAUCUGUUUUACACUUCUGAGCUAUAUCCAUAAUACAAGGACAAUAUUUUCUUGUACUUUUUUUCAAGAAAAGAACUGUAUCAAAAAAUAAAAUCUGGUUUGUCAAACAAUCUUUUAGGCAAUCUGGGAUGAAAUACGAGCAGGAGAGUUUGUCUGAAGAAAUUUCCAAUUCUAAAUGCAAUGCCUAAUAUAUUACACUUGAAAAAGGAUUUUAAAACUUCUCCAUAAGAUUGGUUGCUAAUUGUUGUGAUCCUUCCAAGCUUUGCAUUACAUUUAAGAGGGGAAAAUCAGUUCGAUAGACCUCUAGUCAUGGAAAAUAUGUCCAGAGUAUAAAUCAGUUAUUGAUAAAUGAUUUUCAGUCCUUUUCUCAGGUUUUUCAGGUCCUGGCCUGUUCUUUUGUGCUUGAUAAUUGACAUUUCCUGCUUGACAUUUCCUGCAAGAUCAAAUUCUGGUAAUCCUUUCUAUGACCUUCCUUGGCAACUGAAACAUAAAGCAUGCAUGGUUUAAAGGGAUGUGAGCAUGAAUAUUGACUUUCCGCAGUGGAUGAGAAAAUCCAGAUUAUGUCCACUGAAGCAGGUGCCCCCAUUCCCCUCUCAGUUUAUGCCAAUGAGGGCAGGUGUUGGAAUGGGAAUUUGUGGCAUGUCUUGUUCAACUGCACUGCCAAUGAUGCCAUUUCCCUUGGCCAGUCCUUGUCAAUCAACUCUAGCAGCCUCAGGGAUGGCCAUGGUCCAAUGCAUCAGCUGCAAUUGCCACUGAAUCCUUUCCAACCAUUGCCAUCAGCAGAUUUCUGGUUCCACUUUGACAGUUGCUCAAACAUCCUGUGCAAGGCGAUGAAAGUGACUCCAGCCAGAAGUAGGUUUUUUCUCCUGUCUUUUUUAUUUGAGAUGUUUAUUUUAUGGUGUAUUAGAUUAUUAGUUGACUGCAAAAAAUGGUAAAUUGCUUUGACAUGACAGGAUUUGAGUCGAGGCCAAAGAUGGUCGAGAGAGUUGCUUACAGUUUCAGGAACAAAAGGAAGUUCAUUCUUUUCAGCCUUUAUUUCAACCAUUCUUCAUUUACAACACUGUUGCAGGUCAUGGCUAAUAAGGUCUUGGAAGAAAUGAAGUAAUAGAACAUUUAUUACCUCAUCUCGGUUUAUUAGUGUAGCUGGAUCAACAUAAUUUGUGGUGUAAAAAGCACUUGGUUUAUCAACUUUGCCGCACCUUCGCUAUUCCAUUCAUUUGUUCUGAUGUAUACUUUCUCCUUAGUUCAGCUGUGAGCAAGUACUGAAGAAUUGGAUUCGAAAGGCAAACCUUUAAGAGGGCGGCAAUUCACCAUUUAUGAAUUGUCUAUGAUUCAACACUUAAUGAAGGGAUAGAAUCUAAAGAGUAAUUUCUCCAUUUUAAAAGGAUAAGGAUUCUAAGAGUAAUAUUAAUGUAGCAAGAAAUAUAGAAAAGUUGGCACCACUUUUGCGUCAAUCCAUUCCCAGGAUAUCAGAAUUUUGCUGUUGCAGCAUCAUGCAAAAUGCAAAAGAUCUAUUUAACAGAUCCGCAUCAUAGUUUCAACUUUCAAGGUGUCUGAAAUUGCAGCAACCCAUGUUUCAAUCAUUCAUCAUUUUUCAACGAAAUCCUAUUUCCCUUAUUCUGUGAACACAGGAUUGAUGAUGUUUAUUGACUUGUACACAAAGCUUGAGAAGUGGGAAGUACAAAUCCAACAAAUUCAGAAGAGACAUUAGCAUAUCUGACAAUUCUAAAGAUAUAUCAGUGUAAUUUAGCAUCUAAAACUGAAAAAAAAAAAAAAAAAAGACAGAGAGAAAGAGCUUUGGUUGAAAUACUUUUCUCCAUUAUUGAAGAAUAGUACAUAAUCACUCAACCAGAAUCACGCUUCUACAUAUAUGCUAUAUGACUUCUACUAGUACUAAAGGUAUUGCUGGUAAAAAUAGCAAGUAAAACUGAGGGAGUAAACCUCAAUGCAUCCCUCACAAACAUUCUUCGUAUACCAAAGUUUUUCUUCUGCGUCUUAGCCACUCAUUUGCUUCAACAGGAGCACCAUUA